rnacentral:lncRNA from 1 species
AAAUUACAAAACAUAAUUUUUAUUAAUUGGAUCAAUCCAUUCAAUUGAAUGAAUAUGAGUAAAUGAUCUAUGGAAAAAGACAAAAAAGUAUAUUUCUAAUCGUAACUAAAUCUUGAAUUUUUUCUUUGUUUUGUACAGUCGAGAUUGAAACAAAAUAAGUAUUAAAGGAUGACUUUGGUUUACUGUAGACUUCGACAUCUUGUUUUAGCUCGGUGGAAACAAACUGUGUUUUUGUUACUUGCGGAAGGGUCAAGAUAUGAAAAGCUAUCAUUUUUAUCUCUAAAAUUGUUUCGUUUAAUUGGAUAGGUUUUUGUGUCAAUGGAGAACAUAACGGAGAAUUUAAAACUAGCCGAGUUAAAGAAAGAAAGCAUACGCAAGUCAUUUGAUCAAGCGCAUGCACAGGCAUCUUCUAUUUUGUUAUUCACUCUCCAGUGGAAAGAUUUAGAGGAUCAGUUAAAUUUAGCAAAAGAUUCUUUGUUAAAGCAAGCCCAAGAACUUGCCGAGAGAUAAAAAAAAAAAAAUAGUGGAGAAAACCAAAGUGCUUGAACAACGUGAUCAAGAAGUUGAAAUUAAGUUAAGCAGUGUGAAAAAAGGUUUUGAAGAGCUUCAAAUGAAGGAAAAUAAAUUGGGCUUGUUUAGAAAGGGGGUUGAGGAGUGUGCUUUGGAGCUUAGUUCAACAGAAAAGCAAUUGGAUUUUGCUCGACAAGAGGUCGAUGGUUGCAACGGGAUGCUUAAUAUGAAAAGAAAUGAAUUGAUAGUGGUGAAAAAGGAGCUUCAAGCUUGUAAAGGGAGCUUAAUGUGAAAAACAAGCAAUUGUAUGCGGUUCAGAAAUCACUAGAAGACCAUUCUGGGAAGCUUGAAUUACAGGAGAUGAAAUUGUGUUUGGUUAAUACAAAGCUCGAAAAGUGUUCCAAGGAACUUUCUAUGAAAAACGAGCAAUUGGAAAUGGUGCAGAAGGCACUUAUGUUGCAAGGAGCUAGCAAUGAAAGAGGAGCAGGUAGAAAAGAUAAAAAUCUUAGUUACGGGUUGUAGUAAUGAACUUGUGCUGAAGCAGAAGGAAUUAUGUACGGUAAGGAACUUGAUCAGUGAUUGUAGUGGCGAGCUCGAGUCAAAAGAGAAGCAAUUGGAAGUGCUGCAGGACUUGACCCAAAAAUGUUCUGGUGAACCUUGACAUGAAAAAGAAUAAACUGAAUGGAAUUCAAGAAUCAAUUGAUAAGUGUUUGAAGAAGCUGAAUUUUAAAAGGAAGGAACUUGAUCAGCGUUUGGUGUUCUCUCAUAAAGUGGAUUGCAUGAAUGGUGGACGCAGAGGUACUCACUGCAUGUAAUCCUAAGAAGGGGGAGACUUGGGCCCUCUUUAAGAAUUGGGAUGCGAAAUGGAGUUUGGAUUUAGAAAACAUAGAUCCCGUUACCAAUUUGAAUUUGUGGAGGUUCGGACAGAUUUUACUGAGGGCAUUGGCAUUGGAAUUGCUUAUUUGGGCAAAGUGAAGGGAUUUGUUAGUACUUUUCAGCAAGCUAACUGUGAUGGGGUUCUCUCAUUUUGCAUACGACCAAGUAAAUUGUACAGAUUUUCUCACCCUGUACCCUCAGUCAGAAUUUCCGGCAAGGAAGGAAAAGGUGUCCCCGCAGGGUCUUUUGGAUUUGAUACUACUGCCUUGUAAUUUUGUUAGCAUGGCUGAUAGGGAGAAUAUUUUAAACAGUAGCAAGAGUGGUUAGAAGAUCUCCGAAGCGACUUGGCAACAGAAUUAGAAAUCAAGAUCAAGGAACCAGAACAGAAGACAUUAACAAGCAUCUGGCAGCAAAUAGGGAUUGUAGAGACGGCCAACAUACUUAUACAAGUUAGUAUAAUAUAUUCAUUGUCUAUAGCAGUUAAAAAACAAGCUUGUAUAAAGUUAAUACAAAUUAUAAUAAUAUUAAUAAUGACAUUAGUAAUAGAAAAUAUAAUUAAUUUAAUUUUUCUGUUUUAUAGAUCGAUGCCCCGCAGAAAUCUGUGCAUAUUAAAAUAUAUUUUACGGUCUUUUUUUUUUUUUACCAUUUGUAAAUUAAAAAGGAGAAUCACUCGUCCUUGAGCAAAUCCAAAAUAAGAAAAUACAUGUCUAGAACUCGAAGAUUUUCGAACUAACGUGGGCUCAAGAACGCCAAGAAUUACUCAUAAUUGUAAUUCAAAGUCCGAGAAUCACUCGUAAUUGUACUCCAAACUCCAAGUGGCGUUGAAUUUGUUUAUAUCCUUGUUGACAAAGGAAUCUUAACUGCCUUUUGAAGCUCCACAUUCCUCCUUCCCCACUCAAUUCCACCAAUUCUCAACAAACCCCUUUCUCCAUCAGUCAGUUUUCUUCUUAAUUUUCUUCGAGCAAUCUUGCAUAAUUUGGCGGUCACAAUGGAGCAGGAGAAGACGAUUUCGACCGAGUUGCAACUCAACGAAUUAAAAAAACAAAGCUUCCGGCGGACACUCGACCAACUUCACGAUCGCGCUUCUUCAAUUCUCUCACUUACUCUUCAAUGGAAACACAUCGAGGAUCAAUUUGAUUCCACUCACAACUCUAUUGACGUGCGCGUUGAAGAGCUCCAUUCAAUCCAUAAAGCAAUCGAGCAAAAAUUAGACGAAGUGAAGAAAAGAGAGAAAGAUUUGGAAUUAGUUCAAGAAGCAGUGAAACUUAGGUUUAGCGAGGUUGAGGAAAGGGAAAAGGAGUUUGCGUUGAUUCAAAAGAAAGAGCUUCACGACAGGAAGAGAGAGAUUGAGUGGAUUGAAAAAUCAGGAAAAGAACUUGAUUCUGUUAGAGUGGAAAUAGAAGACAAAUUGAGAGCUGUUGAUGAGGUAGACAAUAGGCUUACGCUGUUCAAUCAUUGUAUUGAAGAGAAAGCUGAUCAAGUUAGAUUGUCAGUGAGUAAAUUGAAGUUGAAAGAGAAAGAGCUUGCAUUCAAGGAUGAGAAUCUUAAAGAGAAAGAAAAGAAACUUGAAGAACACUGUAAGGUAUUGAGGUUAAAAGAUGAGGAAAUUCAUAAGAAAUUCAAGGAGGUUGAACUUAAGGAGAAGCAGCUUGAACAAAGGUAUAGAGAAUUUGAAGAACUGAAAGAGAAACAGAAACCAUCUAAUAAUAAUACUUGUGUCAAGAUUGAGCCACAAAUUACUACUCCAAGUGAUGCUAGUCUUUAUUUUACUGUGAAUAUGGAUGGAAAAGCAUUGCAGAUCUUUUUAAAUGAGCGUGAAUAUAGUGAUUCAAUUAGGGAUGAAGUAUUUAUUGCUUUAGGAUUCUCGUCAGAUCCUGCAAAGUUUGUUUUGGAUGCAAUGCAGGGGUUUUAUCCUCCCCAUUUGAGAAAGGGAGAUAUGGAGUUCAAAGCAGAGGUUGUUAGGAGGAGUUGCAUUCUUUUGUUAGAACAAUUGAUGAAAAUAUCACCAGAAAUUAGUCCUCUUGUGAGAAAUGAAGCAAUUAAACUUUCUUUCAGUUGGAUGACAAAAAUGAAGAUAGAUGCUGAGCAUCCUCUUGAGGUCUUGGGAUUUUUGCAGCUGUUAGCUUCUUAUGGGUUGGCCUCUACUUUUGAUGCUGAUGAACUCUUAACUCAAUUGGAGGUUGUUGUACAACAUAGCCUUUCUCCUGGAUUAUUCCAUGCCCUGGGUUUUGCAGAUAAGAUAUCUGGUAAGCGUGCUUCAUUUACUUGCACCACAUGUAAAUUUUCAGCAGAUGCUUGUUUGCUAUGUAUAUGUGUGUGUGUGUGUGCAUGUGUUACUACCUAUUUGUUGUGGUAGAAAGUUAGCUUUAGGGGGUCAAGCUUGCUUCAUCAUCGUAGCAAAAGAUGUAAAGAAUGAUAUCUUUCAUUUUCUAUAUUAAUCUCAAACUUUUCGGGCCAUGGCCACCCCGGCCUGGUCCCCCCUUCUUCAUCAUUUAUUCCAUUUAAGAACGUCAUUUAGACCAUUCAGUUCAAUGUUCUUUUUAUUUAUAUAUUAUUUUAAUCUUCUGAUGUAGUAAAUGGUGGUGACACCAUAUUCAUACUUGCAAUAUGUGGCACAGGUAUUAUUCAAAAUCUUAUUAAAAAGAAGCAGCACAUUGAAGCCAUUAGAGUUAUUUAUGGGUUCGAGCUGGUCAAUGAGUACCCACCUGUACCUUUGUUGAAAGAUUACUUGCAUUGCUCAAAGAAUGCUGCCAAAAGAAUGAGAAAGGCAGACAACUCAAUUAAAGGACAGGUAUUUUCUUUUUCUUUAAAAAGAAGAAGAAAAAGAAGACCAUUAUUAUGUCAACACCUCCUAACUUUUGUGUGUACUUGUAAUAAACUAUUACAGAUUGAGGCCACAAACAAAAGAGUAGCAGAUCUGAAGUGUGCAUUAAGCUGCAUUCAAGACUACAAGAUUGAAUAUGGUCCCUCACUUGGGGACCUUAAGAAGCUGAUAGUUAAUUUGGAGAAAGAGAACUCAACUAGGAAAUCAAAGUUGGCAGUCAAUGAAUUUAAUAAGUGUCACAGUUUAAGAAGAAAAGAAUGUAAGUCUAGAAAACGAAAGCCAGUUACAAAUAAGAAGAGAAAUUUGGCCCUUCCAGUUGCUGCCCCUGUCCUUGCCCUCAAAUCUGCGUCCACCACAAGCAGUAAUCAUACCUGCAUUCCAACAACUGCCUCAACUUCUGUGCCUGCCACAAAGAUUCAUUCGCAACAAUUGAGUGGAAUUAAACGUCCUUGGACAGAUGGGUCAGACGAAGAUGGUCUAAAUGCUUCCCCUGGUGAUGAUCAAGGUAUGUCAUCCUUCAAAAUAAUUAUCUUUUCACACGAGUUCUUUCUUGAAUAAUUUGAUAUAGCACAGAGGGGAUCAUGCUUAUCUUAGCUGUAUGCCAAUGUACAUCUGUCCAUACCUUUUUUUAUUCAUUUGUUGGCCUGUCUUAAUGUUAACGUAACAUAUGUUUCUUGUUUCGUCUGUUCAGCAACCUGCGUUGAUCCUUUACAUGUAAAGUUGGUGCAUUCUUCGCCUGGAGAUUUGGCAUUGGAAAGCGAAAAUAAGCAUCCUAGGCUUCAUAUUUCACCAGAGGAUACGGAAACGUAUCCGAAACCAUUUGUCAUUGCCACAUCUGCAGGUCACACAACGCAACCCCUUCAACAGCAUCCUCCAGGUUCCUUUAUGAAUCGAGGAGUUCCUUGCGUGCAUGGACCACCCAAACACUAUAAUUUGGCAGGCUACCCUCCUCAAAACAUUCAGUUAUAAUACUAAUGUUAUGCCCUCUUACCACUGGCAAACAUUUGGCAAUUCUGGUCACAAUUUGGCAGCAUCCUUUUGAACAUCAUACAAGUGGAGCAGUAGUGAUGAUCCUUGCCUGUACUUUUUGUGUUGUUUAUCAAUGUUUUUUGCCAUCAACCUGUUUAUCUCUACUGGCAAAAUAUCCAUUCAUAAAAUAAGCUUGUUAUAAUAUCAGAAAGGACCAAGUAUAAAUGAUAAGUUUCUUACUCUGGUGUUUAUGGCUCUUUUUUUUUUUUUUUUUCAUUUCUCAACUUUUUUGUCACUAAGAAGCCCACUGCAUUUUCUGGGCAAUGCAGCAGCUCAUAGCAUUUGUGAAAUAUUUAUCAAAAAGGAAAAAAAUAAAAAUAAAUCAAGAAAUGCAUUCUCUUUUAAUUGCUGUCGGUUCCUAUAGAAAGGAGUUAGUCAUAUUGAGCACAAUCCUUGAAUUCUAGAGGUUCUUUUUCUGGAGCCCAUAUGGGUCUUUGAAUAUGUUCAAGCGUAGGUUGUCGGGAGAUCCUCUCUUUAGGUGUAAUUAAUACGUCACAUCAUCAUUUUAUUAAAUUCUUAAGAUGUAAUUAGUGUGUCACGUCAUUAUUUUACCGCUCACUAUAAAUUACACUACAAAAAAAAAAAAUUAAAAUAUAAAGUUUUCAAAUUAAAAAAUUGACCCGCCACGUCAUUACUUUUUCUCUUUGUAUCGCCCGCAUCAUGGCUAUCAAACUCCACUGUAGAAGAAGAGAGUGAAAUAGGUGAAUGUAAUGAAGAAUGUUGCAUCUUUAUUACCCACAAUUAUAGAUGCUCUUGCAUAUUCAUGUACCUUAGAAAGGUUAGGCUUUGGUCAAGCCCAGCUUGAUUAUCAACCCAACCCAUAGUAAAAUAACUAUGAAUAAUUACCUCGCUGCCGUCAUCGUCUAACUCUAAUCAUUACAGUCUCUACGCUAAAACCAUUUAGUGGCCUUUCAUCUUUAGAAGUAUAAAUCGACACUCGAAACCUUCACUCCAUUUCCUCUGCUCUCUCUUCUUUUCCAUCUUCAAAUGAAGCUAGGGUUUCUGUUUUAUUUAAUCAAUUUUUUUUAAAAAAAUAAAUUUUGAGAGAGCUUUUCAUUAACACUGUUAAAUUUAAUGGAGGAGACGAUUUCCUCUAAGUUGAAACUCAGCGAGUUAAGUAGACAAAACUUUCGCCAAACAAUCAAUCAGCUUCAUGAUCGCGCUUCUUCUAUUCUCUUGCUCACUGUUCAAUAUAAGGAAAUAGAGGGUCACUUUAAUUCUACUCAGAGUAGCAUCGAAGAACGUGCCAAAGAGCUCCGUUCAAUCGACGAGUCAGUUGGACAAAAUUUGGAAGAAGUUAAAAAGAGAGAGGAAAAUUUGGAGUUAGUUAAAGAAUCUGUAAAUGUUACAUUUAGAGAGAUUGAGGAGAGAGAAAAGGAGCUGGAGUUGAUUCAAAAGAAAGAGAUUCAAGGAAGGAAGAGAGAGAUUGAUUGGAUUGAGAAGAAAGGUGAGGAGGUUAGUGAAAGAUUGAAAGAGAUUGAUGCAAAAGAGAAACUAUGCCAACGGAUUUUAAAUGAAUUGGAAGAGAAAGAGAAGCGAAUCGAAUUAGAGGAAAGGAAGUUAAUGGAAAGAAUCAAAGAAUUUGAUGAAAAUUAAUUAAAAGAAAAACGGUCUGUUGAUAAUCAGUUCGCUCGUGCAGAUCGUAGAAUCAGGUAGUUAUGUGGUUAAUAACAAUAAUAAUGUUAAUGAUAAUGCCGUGGAUGCUAACGUGCAGUUAAAUGUGACUAUAGAUGGAAACGCAUUGCAAAUUUUCUUAAAUGAGCAUUCUGAGGAUCAUGAUUUCAUGAGGAAUGGAGUGUUAUGGCUCUGGGACUCUCAUCAGACCCUGCAAAGCUUGUUUUAGAUGCAAUGCAAGGGUUUUAUCCUCCCCGUUUUAAAGACGGAGAUUUGGAGUUUGAAGAGGUGGUUGUUAGAAGGAGUUGCCUUUUCUUAUUAGAGAUAUUGAUGGAAACAAGGCCUGAAAUUUUGCCUGAUGUGAAAACCGAAGCAAUGAGACUUUCUUUAGAUUGGAUGAGACAAAUGAAAAGAGAUUCCAAACAUUCUCUAGAGGUCUUGGGAUGUUUGCAGCUUUUGGCUUCUUAUAAGUUGGCCACUGUUUUUGAUACUGAUAAGCUCUUAACUUAUUUGGAGAUUGUUGCACAUCAUAACCAGGCUCCUGAAUUGUUGCGCGCCCUGGACUUGACAGAUAAGAUAUCUAGUAAGUAUGUUUCAUGUUCUUUUAUUAUAUAUAUAACAUUUGCGCACAUUUUUUUAAUGUAUUUAAUCUAACUGCUAGGUUCUUUUAUUUUUCUUUUUUGUUUCAAUGGCAUCACUGCAAUCAUGCUGAAAUCCUGAGCUAGAACUCCUUUGUUCUUCUCCUCCUUCCUGUCAUGAAAAACCAAAAGAGAAAAUGGAGCCUCAAUUAAUGGCCUUAACAUGUCAUGCAUAAAGUCCUUUUCUACAUUUGCAUUAACCUGACAAAAAGCAUCAAACCUUUUAUUUUUAAUAUAGUCCCUCACAUAACAUUUUUGGUCUUUCAUUACAUUUUGCGCACUUAUUUUUGGAUCCAUGUCUUGUAAAGUCUUAAGGGGUCAUACUUUGUUUUACUAAACUAUUUUGGUUGAUAUGUUGACAUCAACAUGUGUAAUUUAUGAUGGACUCAAUCAUGAGAUGCAAGCCCGGAAUGUCCGCAUUAUUACACCUCAACCCUCUGCUUUUCCUUUAUUUAAUCGUUAUCUGCUGCAACAUUGUGCAAGGGGCACUUUGUCUCACCAAAUCUGUCCACAUAUUUAAUGAGAAACUUAGGUUCUGGAAUCCGUGGAUCUUAUCUGAAUCAUAGCUAGCCUUAAUCAUAUGGAUUAUUAUCUUGUUUAAUUGUCCUUCCAAGCUCUAUCGCACAGCCCCCAACUUCUGCUUUCUGUUUAACAGGUUUUCUGAAAAAUCUAAUCACGAAGAACAAGUACACUGAGGCCAUUAGAUUCAUUUAUGCCUUUGAGCUGGUUAAUGAGUUUCCACCUGUACCUUUAUUGAAAGAAUUUGUGAAGGAUAUCCCAACUGCUAUUCAUAAAAGUAGAAUGAGAGACAAAUCAGUUGAAGAACGGGUUUGUUUACUUCAUUUUUUGCUGUAUCAGUGCUUCAUCAUUUGUUUUAACAUCAUGUGUGUAUGUUGAUAAUAACUUGCUGACAGAUUGAGGCCACCAGAAAAUUAAUAGAUAAUGUGGCUGCACUUAGAUGUAUUGAAGAUUACAGUAUUGAAUCUGAACAGUCAACUAAGUGCCUUAAGCAACACUUACGAUGUCUAGAAGAUGCAAAUAAAAAUAGGAAGGCAACUUUGCCAGCCCCUAGAUGCAAGUCUCAACCACCAUGUCAAGAGAAGAAAAGUUUUACCUCCAACUCCAAGGCGGCUGCUGCUGCUGCUGCUGUCUGUGGUCUAGCGCUCAAAUCUAAGUUCAUUGGAAACGCUGCUUUUAUCUCUCCAACAACAAUUUCCCUUGCCCCCUUCCUAUCACAAAAGCAGAGACAAAAGAAGCGUCCUUGGUCUGCUGUCUCAGCAGAAGUAAUCAAAAUGCUUUUGUUAGUUCUGCUUCUGUGGUUAACUUACAUCAAAAUCCCUCCCAGCAGCCAGUAGAGUUAUCAGCCAACCAAGGUUUGUCAUAUUUGAGCAAUUUAUGGCCUUUUAAUAAUGAUCUUCUCCACAUCCUUUCUAUUACAUACAUCAAUUUUAACUUUAUCAUUUCGAAAUAACUAAUUUUGCAAAUAUGUUAACCAUACCUUGCUACAAGAAUGUAAUGAGUUAGAAGAAGAAAUUACUAUUAUUGUUUUAAACUUCUGCAUGAAAUGUAGUACAUUAUUAGCAAAGUUGAACUCAGUAUUGGUUCUAAUUUUUGGUAUUUACUUGACUUGCUACAUUGGUCCUUCAUUUGCAAAGGUCGAUGAAUUUUUAUGAGAAAGUUUGCAUUUUACAUAAUAUGAUUUAGGGUGCAAAACUUAUCAAGAUUACUUGUGAGCUAGAGCUACUUAGAAUUUACUUAUAAAACACUACUUUGAGCUUGAACCCGAGAAUUCUUGAGUUCAUUUGAGCUUAAAUUUGAAUGUAGUAAAACAACUUUAGACAGUAAUUGAGAAAAGUCAAAAAUAUUGCAGCUUGAGUGUCUUGUGCGUUCCAUCAAAUUGAGUUCAAGUACAAAAAAUAAAACUGAAUCGAUCUUAAGUAAAUUACUAUAGUGGCUUGACUUGAUUUAGACCUUCAACAUGGAUCUGUUUCCAAAUUCUCUUCUUUUUUUGUCCUGGAAAUGGACUCUUCUGACACCAUCAAAAUAGAUCUAAUGCGUUGUUCUAUUUCAUUUUUCCACUACUUACUUUUGCUACUUCCUAAAAGAAUAUUAGCUUACAGAUUUGAAUUUUUGCAAUAACACUAAUGUACUUGAUAUGUGUUUUCUCCUCUCUCUCUUCUAGGGGAAUUUAAAAUUUCAUGUUAUAUGCAAAAAAAUAAGCUACUUUUGCCUUUAUACUGCCUUGUGCCGUGUAUCCAAGUAUUCCUUUAGCAUUUCCGAAUAACAAAAGGAAAAAAGAAAAAUGGGGAUGUGGGUAUUUAACUAGAUGAGCCUAAUUGAUCUAUGAUUCAUUUUUAUCCUUUUCUUUUCAUAUCCUAAGCUCCUUCACAUAAUUUGAAGUAAAUAUGUCUUGCUCUGUUUACUGACAUCUUAUGUUUGCACUUAGUAGGGAAAUAUUAGGCUAUUGUUUUUCCUUAUGGCUCUUCUGGGUGUAGUAUGUGGAACUGACAAUUCAAUGUUGUUAAUAGAAUUUAUUCAAGGGCUUAUUGGAAGUAAUCGACAAAUCGAGGCCAUUAAGUACAUUUUAUCAAUCAGAGAUGGUUGAUAAGUUUCCUUCGGUGCAUCUACUACGUGAUCAUUUGAGCUUUUUGAAGAAGAAUGCCUCCAAAUCAAGCGAGUAAAAGAACAAGUCCAUUAUGGUGCAGGUAUGAUAAUGAUAUCCCCUUUUUAACUUGAUUCCUAUACAUUUUUUGUUAAGCAGUUUCUGACUUAUAUGCUUGCAGAUUGGUUGCAUAGCCAAAGAGAGAGAUGGAUUGAGAGCAGGAAUCAAUUGUAUUGCAACUUACUGUGUUGAAAAUGAAUUCUUGCCCAAGAACCUUAAAGAACGUGUUGCACAAUUGGAAAAAGAGAUGGUAGAGGAAAAACUAGAGUUUGAACGCACUAAGACCAAACUUGGACCUUUAACAAGAUCAAGAAAGAAAUUGUCACAACAGCACGAGAAGAAGAAAGACGUCAGUUGCAGCUCCAUUGCUACUUCUGCUGCUGUCCCUAUCAAAAUCAUAUCCCCCUCUCCAUAUACUUCCCCUGAUACUCUACAUACAAACCUCUCCAUCCUCAGUCACUGCCUCAACUGCAGCAUGUAUGACUCACACCACCCUGUCAGCAACUGAUGCCUCUGUGAUUCCCAUCACAAUUACCUUUCCCUCCUCCCCACCUCCAACCACAGUCAGCGCUACUGCCCCAACUACCAAAGAAGUGUCCUCUUCAGUUGCUGCCUCUACUGCUGCUCCUAUCACAGUCACCACCCUCUCCCCUAAGAGGGCAACACAUCCAGCUACUGCCCCUAAGAUUAAAAAACCAAAGCAUGAAACGGAGAAACAAAAGCGAGUGCUCAACAAGCGACCUGGGAGAGUUGUGUCAUCAGGGAAGCCUCUGAACUCCUCGUUCAGUGUGGCUUAUCAUCCUCAGCCAGCAGGUCAGUCUAUGUAUUAUGGUGCACCGCGGAACUCAAAAGCCGGAUAUCAUAGUUUGGCUGAUCACAGCCCUUCAAACUCGCACUUCAACCCGUACGACAAUCGAGUAAAUUCUUAUUACCAUUUGACGCCUCCGAAUUCUGGUUAUUGUAGGCCUGUGCCCUCUUGGAAGCCUUGAGAGACUGCCUUCUGGUCACUGUGAUUUCUGAAUGAUGACUUGACAAACCGAUGAGAGCCUGGCAGAGCUGAAAGCAGGUUUUAAGGAGCUUGAAACCCGAGAACCAAAGGAAUUUGAUCCGAGUUGGAAAUUGAUUGUGAAAAAAUACAUGAGUUGAUCAAUAAUCUAAUAAUAGUAAGCAGUAGGUAAUAUGAUUAUGAAUCCUCCAGUAAGAAAGAUGCGAUGAGCCAACUAUUUCAGAGCAACCCAUGAUUCCAUUCAGCAAAUAUUCAUUAGCUGUCGGACAUCACAUAUGCUAAUGGCUACUAUCCGCUAUAAUCGACUGUAUUGCUCUUUACUUUCUUUCCUUUUGUUUUGGUGGUAAGCCAUCAUGAUUGGCUAUUGCAUAUAUGUCGCAUCUUUCUUGACUGUACCAUGUCAGGUAAAAGACACAAACAUCUUGGCACCUGUCACAAUAAGAUAUUUAUUUCAUAUUAUAUCUGCCCCAAAAAGCACUUCUCCAGUUUUCCCCUUCCCCAGUUGCAAGUGGACAAUGAUUGAUUUGAUGGUACUCUAUUCCUCCAAGAUAAUUCUUAUUUUAAGAGAUACUUUGAUUAUUGAAAAAUUCUUUGAAAUUAUAUCAGUUAAAGAGAAUAAAAAUUAUUAUUAUUAUUAUUAUUUUAUACUAGAAUAAAAGUUUAUUUUUAAAAUAAGGUAAAAUUAUGAGAAGAUGAAAAUCAAGUAAAAAAAGAGAAGACAUAGUAAUUAUAGGAUUGACUUACAAUUUGAUACCUGAUAUUACCCUUCUUUCAAAAUUAGAUUUAUAUUCAAAUCCAUUAAUUAAAGAGUGUUUUCUUUUUAAUAUUCUCACUCUUCUUCUAAAAAUUAUCAUUAACAAAAUAAAGUCCCCAUAAAAAUGCACUCACAGAAAAGUGGUUUCGCUUCCAGUACCAAUCACGCAACUCAUGUUCCCAGCCCCACUUUACAGCACCGUGAUAUCUCUACCACACCAAGACCUACCCCCAUCGGAGGAUCUUUCACCGCCGUCCUCCUCCAUGAAUCCUUCUCCACAAUAAAACACACGCAGUAAGCAUGACGUGGAUAUAUAUAUAAUAUAUAUAAUUUCAAUUCUAUCCUAUGUCAGUCAAUGAAACUCAAUUGGAUAAAAUUUCUCUUUCUUUUUCUUAUGCAGUACAAGAAGAGUAACAUUUGCCCAUGUGAUCCUAUCUCACCUACCACACUCCACUCACCAACCACACCAGAUCCUAUUAUCUUAGUCCCUUCACAUGGCGGCUAAAAAUGCAUUGCAGAUUUGGGUUCCAACUACUCAAUUCUUGGACGUUUCUAUCCAUUUUUCUCUUUUCUUUUUUGGAGACCAUCUGUUAAAACCCUGUAGCUAAGUACUUUCCAAUUCAAUCCCGUAGACCCGCCUUCCCCAUUUUUUUCGUUUAUUUCUACGUAAAUAUUUCUCCCGUUCUUAACACUAUCAAAGAACAAUUGCUCAGCUGACCACGCGAGGGGAAAAAAAAAAAAAAAACGAAUUCCUGUUUGUUGAAUGUUUAAAAUGCACCCACCUAUUAUUUACACAUGACUCAACUCAACACACUAAUAGAUUUUUCUCCUUUUUUAAUUUAUGUUUCUGCUUACUAUUCUGAUUAAAGUUGGCAACUUGACAUUAUUGGUAUUUUGCUUCAAGUGCUGUUCUCCUUGUAAUCUCUUUCUGAUUGAUGAUAAUCCUCUUCGUUGAAAAAAGACCCCCCACCAAAGUUGACCAAAGUUGUUCUAUCUGAGUUGACAUUUCUGGGUUCAUUUAUUCAACUUAUUUCUGUCUUGAAAAUCAUUGAUUGUUUUGGUUCUAACCACUAAUGGGUAGCGUUGGAGAACUGACUAGUUCUGUGAUGGUUUGUACUCCACUGAUGGCUCAAUCUGUUGAGCAAAUGAUUAGUGACAUGUACAAUGCAAAGACACAAGGUGCUGAUGUUGUUGAAGUCAGGUUGGACUACAUCGACAACUUCCAGCCUCCUCAAGACCUCCAAGCCAUCCUUAGAAAUAAGCCACUGCCUGUGAUUAUUGUAUAUCGGUAAAGCUCUGAAAUUUUAACUAUACCAAUUCUGUCGUUAGAAUUCCAGUUUUGCAAUAGUUUUGAUCUGUAUAUAUAGAAGCCUCUUAGUAUUCUUUUCUAUUUUAGGAUUCUGUUAUUUUGUUGGACUAGCAGACAUGCAGGAAUAUUAUCAUUCCAUAGCUAAAUUUGUUAUAAGGCUAUAAAUUGGCCAAAGCCACACUUUCCUAGUAGAUUGUCUGCUUUGAUAGCCUCCUUUCCAUCAGAAAUGCUAAAAAGGAAGCUUUAGAUAGAAUAUGCCCUGUUUGCUCUUGGCUUAUAGGCAUAGAGUUUAGAUAUAUUUUUUCUUAAUUUUAGUCUGCAAGAUUGUAACCAGUUUUACGGAAAAUAAAUGGGAUCUACUUAGCUAUAUUCCUUUUCAUGGUCAAUACAGAUGACUAAGCAUUAGUAUUGCCACUGAUGAAUCCCACAUACUAUAUGCUUUAUCAACAGUGCGGUGGGGUAAGGCUUCAAACUCAUCUUAUUCAUGGAUUAUGACUGACUUUUCUAAAAGAGAUUUUAUAUAAUAUUUUAUUACAAAUCAUUAUACUAUAAUUGCUAUUUUUUUGCUUUAGGGCAACUGGGGUAGUAAAUAUGAUGCGAGAGACUUUAUAAAAAUGACAACAAAUCUGGAAUGAUACAUGUUGGGUGUGUAACUUUCGUUUCCAUUAUAAGGACAUUCAAAUGACCUUACACUUCUGCAAAACUGGCCAGUGAUCAUAUAUGAAAGGCUUAAAAAUAUUGAUCGUAAUUUUGCCAGGCCAAAAUCAGAAGGUGGUUUGUAUGAAGGAGAUGAGCCCACAAGGUUGGAAGCACUUCGUUUGGCUUAUGUACUAGGAGCUGAUUAUGUUGAUUUUGAACUCAAGGUAGCUCUUGAAGUUUCUUUUCAGCGCAAAAAUGUAUUAUAAUAGCUAAGGGGUGUGCAAUGUUAGCUUUCUGUUUAUCCUAUAGAAUUGGGGUGUAAGCAGAAAGUGACAAACAGCCUCAUAUCCUAAUUUAAGCAAUAAAUAAAUCUUCAACUCCUAAGUUUUGUUUGACUUUCAUACUGUCAUCAUUCAGGUGGCUUCUGAUCUGAUAGGGGAACUGAAAGGGACGCAUCAUACUGGUAGCAAAGUUAUUGUGUCGUGUUAUGUUAAUGGUGAUAUGCCUACAAAAGAAAAUCUUAGCCAACUGGUUGCAAGCAUGCAAGCUACUGGAGCAGAUAUUAUCAAACUUGUUUCCACUGCAAAUAAUAUUACUGAAUUAGAUAGAAUUUUCCAUCUAAUCUUACAUUGUCAGGUAAGAGACAAUAUGAUAAACCUUAAUGCCUUUACACGCAUGAAAAGUAAGAAAUGGUCGUGCAGAACCGGAAUUACUAUUUACAUCUAUUUAAUUUAUAUAAACAAAUUCCUUACUAUUUCAUUUAAUUAAAACGUGAGAAAUAAAGUUUAAAUUGAUUCAUGUGGUAAUCGAUUUCAGUUCAUGCUGAUACCUGCAGGUACCAAUAAUUGCAUACUCUGUUGGAGAAAGAGGUCUCAUAAGCCAGUUAUUGUCCCCAAAAUUUGGUGGUUCUUUACUCUAUGGAUCCAUGGAAGGAAGUUCCAUUCCUGGUCUGCCUACUUUAGACAGCCUUAGAGAAGCCUAUAAGGUUGCAUACAUAAAUUCAGAUACUAAAGUCUUCGGUCUAGUUUCAAAACCGGUUAGCCACAGCAAAGGUCCCUUGUUGCAUAAUCCUACUUUCAGACAUGCAAACUAUAAUGGGACUUAUGUCCCAAUGUUUGUUGAUGAUCUCAAGGAAUUCUUUAGUGUUUAUUCAAGCCCUGACUUUGCUGGUUUUAGGUAUGCCAUAUGCAAGCUUAUGGUCUGCGAAAAAGUUUAGAACUUAACUCCUAAGUAUUUUUUAUAUAAAUACAUAUGUAUACAUGUGAGUGAAAUGUAAAAUUUUUUUAUGGACAUCCUGUUCAUUUUACAUAAAUUCAGUGAGUAUUAUUUGCUGAGAUAGAAAUAUGGCUAUAUUUCUGCAUGUGUUACUUGGCUCAGAUAGGAUAGCUCUCCAACUGGCCUUUUGGUUUUCUCUUUUCAAUCUUGGUAAUUACAUGUUUUGGUUUCCUAGUUGAAUUAAAUUUCUCAUGAUUUUCUUUUCUUUGAACUGUAGUGUUGGAUUUCCAUACAAGGAAGCUGUGGUUGAGUUUUGUGACGAAGUCCAUCCACUUGCUAAGGUUGAUAUAUCUUGGUGCUAACUUUUUACAUCUCUGGAAUUUGUCAUCUUGAUAAUCAAGAUGAUCUAUUAUCAUAUCAAGUAGUUAAUAAUUGAAAUCAUGUCUUGAUAUAUUUAAAUGUGAUCAAGUUGCAUGCUUCAUCAGUCUAUAGGUGCUGUUAACACCAUUAUUAGGAGGCCUGGUGAUGGGAAGUUGAUUGGUCAUAAUACGGACUGUGAGGCUGCAAUAACUGCUAUUGAGGAUGCUUUGAAAGGUGCUGAUAUUAAAAUUGCACCUUUGCAGUGUUGCAUUCUGGUGCCUUUUGAAGUUAAUUAUAGUCAUUACUUGCUAGAUAAUGUAGUCUAUCUUUUGACUUGAAUAUAUUAUGUAUUUUGAACAUUACAGAACAAGGAUACAUGGAUGGCAGAACAUCUUCCAACUCUCCAUUAACUGGAAGGCAGUUUGUGCUUGUGGGUGCUGGAGGGGCAGGAAGAGCACUUGCAUUUGGUGCUAAAAGUCGAGGAGCCCGUAUUGUUAUUUUCGACAUUGAUCUUGGUAGAUAAAUUAACAAUUGUUUUUUUUUUCUCUGCAUGGCACACUGAUUAGUACCUCAAUUAACUGGAGAGCAUCUAAGUCUUUUUCACUAUGUUUCCUAAUGUUUCUACACAAAGAGAGAGCAAAGUUCCUAGCUGAUGCUGUUUCGGGUGAGGCUCAGCUUUUUGAGAACGUAGUUAAUUUUGAACCAGAGAAUGGAGCAAUUCUUGCAAAUGCAACACCAAUAGGAAUGCAUCCAAAUACCGAAAGAAUACCUGUGGCUGAGGUUCUCUCUACUUCAUAUCCUUAAAAAGAAUAUAUAUAUUCAGGUCUUUUCUUAUUACGAGUUUUAAACCUUCUGCUUGAUUUUUCUGAAGGCAACCUUGGGAAUCUAUCAGCUGGUCUUUGAUGCUGUCUACACACCUAGAAAAACCAGACUAUUAAAAGAAGCUGAAGCUGCAGGGGCAAUCAUAGUGAGUGGAGUUGAGAUGUUCCUCAGACAGGCAAUGGGCCAGUUCAGCCUCUUUACUGGCAGAGAAGGUAUCUAGUCCAUCUAUUAACACUUUGUGAUAUCGUGACAUCCAUCAUGCCCUACCCUUAGAUUCAAACAUGUUUUUCUGCAAUUCCCAUAUGAUUUUAAAUGGUCCUCAUUCUUGCUGGCUUUUUUGUUUGAGUUUUGCAGCACCAACAGAAUUUAUGCGGGAGAUUGUUUUAGCCAAGUUCUGAUGCAUUUCAUAGCUAGGAAGUUGCUGUGCUGAGGAAUUUCACCCUGUCAUUUGAUAAUUGCAAUUCUCAAUUGAUAAACCUGUGAUAAUAACUUGUUCCAAGUUCAAACUAGUAUCAACAUUUUCUCAUUCUGCUGGUAUAUUAGAAAGAGAGAGAAGAGGAAGAAGAAGAAGCAUUUAGAUCAAUUUCAGUGUCUCACUUCCAAAUUUCUCAAACCAUUCAAGGUUCAGCAUUAAUGGCUUAUAGCUAGAUUAAUGGUUAUUGGACUUGGGCUAAUGUGUCCUACAGAGAUUGUGAAAACAAUAUUCUUAAAACCCAUUAUAGGUGCAAUAGCCCAAGCCCAUAAACUCAAAAGCCUUCAUAAAAUGGCUUAAUAAAUGCAAAAGCUAUCAAGGUUAAUAGCAAUGGUGCUAUUUACAUUCUCAAAAGAAAUUUGUUGCUCCUCCAGAAACCCAUUCUAUUUCUCACAUGGUUGGUUACAAACAAUAACUUCUCAUACGUACUUCCAAAAUGUAUUUAUUUUUUAGUAGCAUGCAAUUUAAUGGGACACAAUAGUCUAAAAUGUAGUCACAUUAAUCCCUUGAUUGGACCGUCACUGAGGAAAUUUUGCACAUAACUUUUUCCCAUGUGUUAGUCACUUGUCUGUUUUCAGUCCACAUGAAUAAUUUUUCAGAUUAUGGUCAGUCUUACAUAUAUGUGCAAAUAUCACAUGUCAUAAUAAAUUCAUUCAUUUAAUCUAAUUCUAUGGCAUAUCUACCAAAGGCCAACAACACCUUAAUCCUAUGAUACAUGAUAUUUGUAAUACUAGGUUGAGCACUCAUCAAGUGAACAAAGAAAAGCAGUUAGGAGUUAGGCCCAUAAAGAAAGUUUGCUAUAGUAAAUUUAACAUAUUCAUUUAUAAAAGACAAAGUAGGUCCAAUAAUUAAGAGUGAUUAAAUGUAGAUAAACAUAUAUCAUUUAUUUAAGAAAUUAUUAUCAUCUAAAUCUAGGCCUUUACUUGACCCACUGCUGUGUUUGGUCUUUUAGUACAAAGAAUGGCAAGCCUUCUAUUUUUCUAAGAGAUGGACAAAGUUGCACCAUUUAUUUUUAGCAUUGUCUUUUAACCUUCAGUUUGGCAGUCAUCUUUUCUUUUUAGAAAGUUAGUUAACAUAUUCAGAAAAAGAAAGAGAAUUUAUAUAUUUAGUUAACAUAGCUUGUGUUUGGAUUGAUGGAAUCUUUUUUAAAGUUUAAAUUUAUUUUCCCUGUUUAGACAAUUAUCACUGUGACAAAUGCAAAAAUAUUUUCAGAAACAAUAUAUAAUCAUAUACAAUUUUAAUACCUUAAUCUGAAAGUAAGAUGAAACUAUUUUAGAAGUAGUGUAAGGAUUUGAACCUAAAAACCAAAAUUUAUGUCUUAUUUCAACCUUUCUUUCUUGCAUAUGUAACAUAAGAUAUAUUUAUUUAGCACACACAAAAUCACCAUUCCAUGCACCUAACUUUCAAAUUAAGAGUCAGCAUUUGCCCAAUUUGCAAGAUAUCAAACAUGUUAAGUAGCUACUGCCACCAAAAGUUCCAUUCUACUAUCUUAAGUCUUAACUAACUAAAAAUAUAUGUCAGCAUGCUCCCUUCGAAUUUCUAAUCUCAAGAACCACUUUUCUUCUAUCUAUAAAAUCAUAAAACCCUCUUUACUCUUACUUUCUCCUUUAUACUAACCUCAUAAAGAUUCUCUGUUACAUUCCUUCUCAAGAACAUUUAGCUAUGGGAAGCCUUCCGGUACAUUUUCUUUUCAGUUUCUAUAUGCUUAUCGCGUUUUCUUUAAUGAAUAUGUUCUAAUUACUUUUUUUUUUGUUUUGCCUGGUGUUGCACUAGUUCACUAUGUCUGAUCUUCAACUGAGUAAUAGUUCAGUUCAGAGCAGCCCCACUUUACUAUGUACUCCAUUGAUGGGCACUACAGUUGAUCAAAUGCUGCUUGAGAUGAGAAAGGCUACGGAAAUCAGUGCUGAUGUUGUCGAAAUUCGGCUAGAUUGCCUUAGAAACCUCAAUCCUCGCCAAGAUCUUGAAAUUCUCAUUAAGCAAUCUCCUCUCCCUACCCUGGUCACUUACAGGUAAUGAUCAAGUUCAAAAACAGGUUUCCAUUUUUAUAACUCUUUUGCUCUGUGCUUAAAUUUUCCUGCUUUGACUAUGAAUGCACAAGCUUUCCUGUUAUGGUAAAUUUUUUGUUUGUUGAUGCGAGUAUUAGUGUCUAGUUUAACAUUGUACUUGAAACUAAAUGUGCUGUUAUUCAAUAUGUUGCAAAAGAAUAAUAUGAAAAAGCUAGUUAUCAAUUUUAUAACUUUUACUGGAGUAUGACAAUUUGCCUAAACAAAGUCUGCUACAUGCAUGUGCUCUUCAGACCAAUUUGGGAAGGUGGUCAGUAUGAGGGUGAUGAGACCAAGAGACAGGAUGCGCUUCGUUUUGCUAUGCAGUUGGGAGCUAAUUAUGUUGAUGUUGAACUUGAGGUAAAAAUCUUUCAGAUGCUCUAGAAAAUUUGUUCAUCUACCAUAAACUAUAUCCAUAAGAUAUGAGACAUCUGACAAGGCAAUUUCAAGGAACUGAAGUAGCAAAUCAGAUUCUUAUGCUUCACCGAUUUUGCAGGUUGCUCAUGAAUUUAACAACUCAAUAUAUGGAAAGAAGCCUGAUAAUUUCAAAGUUAUCGUUUCUUCUCACAAUUUUCACAAUACUCCAUCUUCUGAGGCAAUUGCCAAUCUUGUUGCUAGAAUUCAAGCUACUGGUGCUGACAUUGUCAAGAUUGCCACAACUGCGUUAGACAUUACAGACUGUGCUCGCAUUUUUCAGAUUAUGGUGCAUUGCCAGGUCAGUGAUAUAAACAAUGCACAUUUCGUGACUUGAUUUUCUUUUCAUUUGUUUUCUUCAAGAGUUUAGUUUACAUUCACGCUUCAUCUGAGCUGUUUCCAUGAUUCUUUAUAGGUCCCAGUAAUUGGAAUUGUUAUGGGUGAAAGGGGCUUGAUUUCGCGGUUACUUAGCCCCAAGUUUGGUGGAUAUCUCACUUAUGGUGCGCUUGAGGCAGGUGCUAUAUCUGCUCCAGGACAGCCAACUGCAAAGGAUUUAUUGGAUUUAUACAACUUCAGACUCAUAAGGCCUGAUACUAAAGUGUAUGGCAUUAUCGGGAAACCUGUUGGUCACAGCAAGAGUCCUCUCUUGUUCAAUGCAGCAUUUAAGUCUGUCGGUCUUAAUGCAGUUUACGUGCAUUUUCUUGUUGAUGAUGUUGAGAAGUUUUUCAGCACCUAUUCAUCUGUUGAUUUUGCUUCAGGAUGCAGGUAUUUUUCCAUAUCUUUUCUUGGAGACAUGUUAUGUGUUCUUGGAGUAAAGAGUAUAGACAGGGAAAAACUGAUGACAUUGUAUUUUGCUAUGCAGCUGUACUAUUCCUCAUAAGGAGGUUGCACUUAAAUGCAUGGAUGAAAUUGACCCCAUCGCCAAGGUAAUUCCAUCAUCUGCAAUAGCCAUUUCUACAAUUGCCAGGAUGCUGUCUGAUUAAUCAUUUCUUCAUUCUAUCACGCCUACAGAAAAUUGGAGCAAUCAAUAACAUUAUAAGGAGACCUGAUGCAACCUUGAUGGCAUACAACACUGACUAUAUUGGUGCUAUUGAUGCAAUUGAGGACGGACUAAGAGGUGAGAGAUAAUAUCUCUGAAAAAUCUAAAAAUUCCAACGUUCCCUGACUCGGGUCUUGUUUCCUCUCUGCGCAGAAUUGAACGGUGCAGUUCCAGCAGGUACCUCACCUUUAGCUGGUAAACUGUUUGUGGUUUUGGGAGCUGGUGGUGCUGGCAAGUCACUUGCUUACGGUGCCGCACAAAAAGGAGCCAGAGUUGUUGUUGCCAAUCGAACAUUUGGUAAGAAUCCUGACGCGGCAGUUCAGUAUACCAUUUCACUUGCCCUGAACAGUUUUAUGUAUAUACUGGGUUUAAUUGGGAAUUCGGAUGUAUUUUCACGGACCAGAACGAGCUAAGGAGCUGGCUGACAAAGUUAACGGUCAAGCAAUGACACUUGACGAAGUACAAAAUUUCCACCCAGAAGAAGGAAUGGUUCUUGCAAACACCACAUCUGUUGGAAUGAAGCCUAACAUUGAUGCCACUCCACUAGCAAAGGUUUGUGUGUUUUGACAAGAAAAAAUGGUGAGAAACAGAACAUAGAGAUUUCUUUUUUUCCUGCUGAAGAAGUAAUGGUAUUUUUGCACAUAUGGCAGCAUGCUUUAAAACACUAUUGCGUAGUCUUUGAUGCCAUUUACACACCGAAAGACACAAGACUGUUGCGGGAAGCGAAAGAGAGUGGAGCUGUCAUUGUUUACGGAACAGAAAUGUUGAUCCGCCAGGGAUUUGAACAAUACAAGAACUUCACAGGCUUGCCUGGUAUGAUACCAAAUCACAUCACAUAUCAUAUUAAUUGUGAAUAAUUAAGGGUAUAAGUAACACGAAAUCAUUGUGCUCAAAUUCUUUUCUUUGUUGUCGCUUUUCAAAUUACAGCACCGGAAGAAUUGUUCAGGCAACUGAUGGAGAAACAUGCAUAAGAAGCAAAUUAGAUUCCCAGCUGAAGCCAUUUUUCUCCGCCACAGGGGUAGUAGCUCUAGUUGCAAAUUUUGCAUGGUUAUGUGAUUACUGUUUCAUCACUCAGUCUGUAUUAAUAAAAAUUUUCUUUAAACAUUAAAUUAUGAAGCCAAGUAAUCUUGCCUUCUCAAUAGAGAAAGGAAGUGUAAGAACAGAUCAAUGCUUGUCCAUUGCUUGUUAUUUGGCAAACCCCCUUUUCUUUUAUUUUGCUCUGUCUAUGGAGACAUUUUAUGUUCUCUUGUUGUCAAGAAAUUGUUUUGAGUAAUGAUUAAUGAUGCAAAUAAUAAGUUUACCCACAUAAUUGGACUGACGGUAUAUAUAUAUAUUUAUAUUACUUCUGUGGCAUAUUAAAAAUUUCAAUUCCUCUUCCAUUCAUUGCAAAUUGUCGGAAACCACUUUGUGACCAAAAGGGUUAAUUGUUUUCGUUCUUGAAACAUUGUUUCAAUUUUCUCUCGUUUUAUUAGGUACAACUUUUUUUCCUUUUUCUUUUUUAAUUUAAAUGGGGGAGUUAAAUAAAAUUUGAACAUACUUAUCAUUUCAACUAAAUUAAACACACUAAUCUAAGAGCGUGCAGCAUAUAGAUGAGACAGUAAGUAUUUAGUUUAGUUUAACUAAAAUUUUGAUUUAAAUUUUAAAUAUACAGCUACAUUAAAAAUUAUAAAGAAAUACUUUAUCAUUUGUAAAUAUUUAUCUAACACGCUCUAAAUUAAAUUUAAAUAUAUAUAAAAAAAAUUAUAAAAUUUUAUUUAUCCUUAAAUUAAGAAUCCAAUGAGUCAGCAAAAUGUUAACUAAAUAGAAAAUCACAAAUUUUCUUCACUAUAUAUUUAAAAGGCGAUCAUAAUCAAAUAUCUUGACAAGGUAAAUCCUUUUUUUUUUUCUUUUUACUUAAGAUAAUAUAUUAAUCCUUGAAAUUUUUCAAUAUAAAUGGUUAACAAAUAAGGAAGUAUAAGAAUUUAACAAAUAUGAGGAACUAAAAUAUAAAUUUAUUUUAUAAAGUGGCAAACUAAAGUAAAUAUAUUAUUAUAAGAAAAGAGCAGUUUGAUUCAUUUUCCAAAUAAGAGGGUAGAAAUACAGUUAAGAUUAAAACUCAAUGAAUAAAUAGUUAAGAAAAUGAGAAGAAAAAUUCAAAUUUCUGGGGAGAUUCAUUUGGAAAAGACUGCUAUAGCAAUUAGGGUUUCUAAGAAUAAAAUCUUAAAGUGGGGAUCUGUUAUCCAUAUCUAAUUAUUUUGCCAGACAUUUAACAAGUGUAAGAAAUAAAUUUCUAAUAUCACUUCUCCCCUUUUUCACAUUCAAACCCUUCAAACCCAAAAUCGAAUAAUUACCUUUUUAAUUUUUAUUUUGACACAGUCUUUGUUUGAAACUUAAAAAUUAAUAGAAUUUAUUUACGAAUAUAAAAUUUAUAUACUUUCAAUAGAAUUAAUUUUAUAUAAAUUUAUGUAAAAUUGGUUAUAGCAAACUUAAAUUCUAACAGAAUAACUUAUAAAUAAAUUUUAUAUCAGUGAGUUAAUAUAUUUCAUAAUGUAAAAGUAUUUUUUCCAAUUUUAUUAUUAUUAUUUCUUUUACAUAUUUAUCUCAAAUAAAAUAAAUUUUUUUAUGGAUUUCGACAGAACAUAUAUAUGUAUUUUGAAAUAAAUAAGUUUUAAAAAAAUAAAAUAAGAAAAGUAGUGCAGAAAUUAUAGUAUGAGGCGGCCUGUACAUUUGGGAACUGUGGGUCAGAGGGAGAGAGACAAUCUGGAAGAAGAAAGAGGACUUGCAAUUGGGAGAAUUAGAUGUUUUUUUAAAUAUUUUUGGUUUGUUUUAGUAUAGAAGGAACUAAAAAUGGACAAUUUGGUAACACCAACUUUUUCAAGUCUCACCCAACUUCUUUUGCCACUCUGAGUUGCCACCAAAAACCCUUUCUUUAUCUAUUAAUUUAUUUUAUUUCUAAGUAAUAUUUUCAAAUUUAAAUUUUUUUAUUUGUAAUUCAAUUUUUUUUUUGGUUUAACGAGAUUUCAAAAAUCUGUUUAUAAAGAGUCGUGAGUUUUAUAAUUUUUUUUAGUACUUAUUAAUAAAAUUUUAAUAUUUUAAAUAAUUUUAAACAUAAUUAAUGCUUUUUAAGUAGAAUUUAUAUUAUAUUAUUAAAUCAUCUUAAAAGUGAAAGUUUUAGAUCUAAAUAAUAAGCUAAGCUAUCCAACAAUCUCUAACUAGUAAAAAAAUGAUUUUUUAUCCAUACUAACGAAAAUUAUUUUUUAUUUUUUAUUUAAUCUGAAAAUAUGGUUUUCUAUUAUUUUUAAAAAAAUUAUUUUAUUUUAUUAUAGAAUAUUUAUGAAUAUUAUAGGAUGGAUCACCACUACAAUAAGAUGGUAGAAUAAGAAAUUAAAUAGCAUAAUUCUUAAUAAAAUUUGAGAAUUAAGUACAUAAAAGAAUAAAUAAAUAAGGACAAAAAAGAAAAUCAAAAAGUGGUUAAAUUCUUUGCCGCCAUUCAGUGGAAGAAAACAAAAAGAAAAGUUGAUCAGAAAGGAGAGAAAUUAUGGUAAGGAAAGUGGAAAUGAAACUGCAGUUCCAAAAUCUCAAGAACAGCUAACAGUCUUCCUUUUUUUUUUUUUUGAACCUUCCACAAAAGAAAAUGAGAAAGAAAGAAGAACAUAAAGUGGCGGUUCAUUAGCCAUCGAACUAACAAAUUCCCUCUUCUAUUUAUACACCUAACCCAUCUCACCAACUACGAUAGAGUAUAGACCCACUUCAAUCGGACCACUCUUUCACUUCUCUGUUUACCCAUCAAAGCAACGCCACCGAGCUACCAAAACAUGACUCUCGGCAGUGUCCCGGUAAUACUCUCUUUCUUUCUCUUCUUUUGUUGAUCACUUCUUUUUUUUCCUUUUCAUUUCUUUAUGAGAAAUCACGGUUGAAAGAAAGGAGACAAAGGAGUUGAUUAUUCUGUUGUUUUGGUUUCUGGGUAUCUGUUGUUUUUUGUUUCAUCUUAUUAUUCAAACAAGCCAAGUUAAAUGAUCAUAGUUAUGUUUGAUUAUGGGUUUCGAUUCUUUUGAACUUUUCGAGUAAAAAAUUUGCGUAACAUUGACCUCUGCAAUCAAGAAGAUGAAACUAUACCUGUUUUCCAUUUUUGAAAUUCUAUUUCUCUUGUUGUUUGGUUAAUGAUGAGCUUGAGAAAAAUAAAUAUGCAAAUGGAGUAUGAAAUGUUAUUAAAGUUUUGUGCAGUUUAAUCCUUUUUUUAAAUCUGGAUCAGUUUAGUCCAUUACUGGAGAAAAAUAAAUAUGCAAAUGAUGGAGUAUGAAAUGUUAUCAAAGUUUUGUGCAGUUUAAUCGUUUUUUAAAAGCUGGAUCAGUUUUAGAUCUUUACAUAUCAAUUUUGUUUUAGUUUUUGAAUUUCUUUUGUGGAAAACAGUUCACUACUGCGGAUCUUCAAAUUGCCGAUGGAGGUCGAAGAAAUUCUACGUUAAUCUGUGCUCCAGUAAUGGCAAAAUCAGUUGACGGAAUGCUGGUUCAAAUAAAUAAGGCCAAGGAACUUGGGGCUGACCUUGUUGAAAUUCGGGUGGAUUUCUUGGAAAAUUUUAGUCCUAUACAGGAUCUUGAAAUCCUGAUUAAGCAAAGUGCUUUACCAACUCUUAUCACUUAUAGGUAAUAAGUCAUAAACUGAUGUCCGCUUUAUAGAUGAGGAUUGAACCUCAGGGUUUAAAUUUGUUUUUCUUUUUUCUGAAGCCUGGUUUAGAAUGUAUUAUAUGGGGAUUUGAAUUGUUUACUUACUAUUUCUUUAAAUAGCUGUGUAGAAAAUGUAAAUCUAACUAUAUCACGUUUUUUUCCUCUUAGUUAGGAGACUUAGAUAAUAGUUCAGAGACAUUACAGAUUUAAAGUCAAGGGUGAUAGUUUUUUUUUUUCCUUUCUUUUGCCCCUACAUGAUUGAAAGCUCAACUUUACUAAGUCAAAUAGUUAACUGAUGUGUCAAUUUAGGUACUCUACUAAAGUAUUACAUACACUUGAUUAAUAAUUAGUUCUAAUGAAGUUUCUCAUGGGUUUUAUCCUUUAGACCAAAAUGGGAAGUUGGUGAAUAUGAUGGUGAUGAAAGCAAGCGUCAAGAAGCAUUGCGUCUGGCCAUAGAAUUGGGAUCAGAUUUUAUUGAUGUUGAACUAAAGGUAGGGCUACUUCAAAUUUUGUAUGAUCUAUUUUGGUGUUGAAAAGGUCACCGUCUGAAUACUUGAUCUAUGUGUAUUUUGCGAGUGCCAAUAUAAUGUGUUACUGAAAUGUUUAAUUUUUCCACUUGAAGGUAGCUCCUGAGUUCUUCAAUUCCAUUCAAGGAAAGAAGCCUGAAAAGGUGAAGAUUAUUGUAUCUUCUCACAAUUAUGAAAAUACUCCAUCUGUAGAGGAAAUUGCCAACCUUGUUGCUAAGAUACAGUCUACUGGAGCUGACAUAGUGAAGGUAGCAACUACAGCUUUAGACAUCACAGAUAAUGCACGGAUGUUUCAAGUACUUGUACAUGCACAGGUGAGUAAUCGAUAUGCUCUGAUGGUGCUUCUAUAAACUUUAAGAUUUUCUUCAUUUGAGCAUAUAUAAGCUAUUGUACAUUGACAAAUUGUGAUUUUCGUGCAUUAGAUUGCAUCAUGUGUGAACUGUUUUUCUUUAAUCUUAGCUGCUCAAACGUUUUCUGUUUUAAGAAACCACAGAAAAGCUUUGUUUGCUUGCUAUUAAUCCUCAUAGUUGUCAUAUUUAUGUUUUCAAAAUCUUUUAUAAGCUUAAUGAAUAACAGUUCAGUUAAAUUAUAGGUGCCAAUGAUAGGAAUUGUUAUGGCUGAAAGAGGUUUGAUGUCACGGAUACUUGCUGCAAAAUUCGGAGGAUUUCUCACUUUUGGUUCAAUUGAGGCAGGAGUAGUUUCUGCUCCUGGGCAACCAACUAUUACAGACUUAUUGGACCUAUAUAAUCUUAGACAGAUUGGAGCUGAUACCAAAGUACAUGGCGUCAUUGGAAAUCCCAUUGGUCAUAGCAAAAGUCCUCACCUCUACAAUUCAGCAUUUAAGUCAGUUCGAUUUAAUGGAAUUUAUCUCCCUCUUUUGGUUGACAAUGUUGCAAAUUAUAUAUCCACAUAUUCAUCUUCAGACUUUGUCGGAUACAGGUAAAAGGGAUUUCUCUUAAAUCUGUUGAUGCAUCAUGCAUUAUCUAUCAUGUUUAGUUUUUGAGUCUGCUAGACUGUUGACGGAGAAAUGUCAAAAUAAUUGUCCCAACAUAAAUUUUAGGAGGCCAUUGCUCAUUGGCCUAUAACCAGUGCUUAAUCUCAUGAAGGAAAUUUCUGGUUUUUAGUCUUGUUCAUGAAACAUGCAAAAGCUAUCUUAAGUUUGUGAAUGCCAGACCCUCUGCAAAUGGAUACUAUUCAGAAAAUUUAGAAAUUGAGCAGUCAUCUCAAUGUGCUUGCUUCUCUUGAAGUUCACAAGCUUCACGGAAAGAUAUUGUACAAGGUUGAACUAGUGGGGGACUUUUGAAGAAUAAACAUGCCUUGUUCUGUUAAUAUAUUCAUCAGUAUGAAAACUUUUUAAAUCCUUGGUGAUCUGAAAAUUUACUCCUCAGUGAAUGAAGGUAGUUUUGAUUGAUUUGAAAUGCAGCUAUACAAUUCCUCACAAGGAAGCUGGACUUAAGUGCUGUGAUGAGGUUGAUCCAAUUGCUCAGGUAAUUAAAUAUCUAAUUGCUUUGGAAAAUUCAUAUUUUAGCAAUUUCACACAUAAUGACCACUGAAAACUUUGAUCAACGCCAGCAUUUAGCAAUGCAAAAAACUUGUUCCACCUUUCAAUAUGUUUACUUAAAGGUCUGAUUUUGCAGGCAAUCGGAGCUAUUAGUUGCAUGAUCCGGAGACCAAGUGACGGCAAGCUAAUGGGAUAUAAUGUUGACUACCUUGGAGCUAUAGGAGCUAUAGAAGAAGCACUACGAGGUUUCUAAUGCAUUUUAGUGCAUAUUCUAUUUAAACCUUCUUUUAAAUUUGUUUUCUUUCUUUAAUCCUGCAAUUUCGUUGCAGCAUCUAAUGGUACCCUGCUUCUGGUUCUCCCCUGGCUGGCAAACUCUUUGUUGUCAUGGGAGCUGGUGGAGCUGGAAAGGCCCUUGCUUAUGGUGGAUACGAGAAGGGAGCAAGAGUUGUUGUUGCCAAUCGCUCAUUUGGUGAGCAUCUAUCAUUCUUUUACAUCAUUGUGAUACAUUUCCUGCUCUCUGUGUGUAUAAUGAAUUUAUUGGCAAUUUGCAUCUGCGUUGUGAAAUUGUAGAACUGUAUGUUCUCAUAGAUGAUGGGAUGUAAACAAUUCCUCAUUCAUUGAUGUUAACUGUGGUUUAUUAUUGUUCUAUUAAUAGGAAUUAUUGGUAGACAUUGAUUUGAUCUAUUUGCUAACUCAAUAAUAUGACUAUGUUCUCUCAUGACCAGACAAAGCCAAAGAACUUGCCAGUAAAGUUGGAGGACAAGCGAUGACUCUAGCUGAACUGAAAGAUUUCCAUCCAGAAGAAGGAAUGAUUCUUGCAAACACCACUUCAGUUGGAAUGAAACCAAGAAUUGAUGAUACUCCCCUUCCUAAGGUUUGCCCCAUUUCUAAUUGGUAUCCCAUUCAAUUGUAACAGCUAUUCAUUGUACUUACACAGGUGGCAAAUAAAUUAUUAUCCAAAUCCUCCUUUUAUGAAUGCACAAGUGGGUAAUACCGAUAAUUUUAAUAUUCUAAUAUCUUUGCAGGAAGCUUUGAAACACUACUCCUUGGUCUUUGAUGCAAUUUAUACACCAAAAUUGACCAGGCUCUUAAGAGAAGCACAGGAAUGUGGGGCCACUACUGUUUACGGGACAGAGAUGUUCAUCAAUCAAGCAUUUGUACAGUUUGAAAGAUUCACUGGUUUGCCUGGUAAGUUGAACUGCAACAAAAGAAUUCUAGUCAAAUCUCUGAAGUAUUCUGCUCUUUUACAUUUUGCUUAUCUUUUUCCUAAUUUGCAGCACCAAAACAACUGAUCAGGGAUGUGCUGACAAAAAAUACAUAGGAAGGAAUAGUUUUUUUCCAAGUGAAUCUCUUGCAGCAGAAUCCAUGUUUUGCCAUUACAACUAAAUUCAUUUCAUUGUCUGAGACGUGUAAUCAGCUGUUUCUAUUGUUCUGUUAUUUCAAUAAGUUUCUGUUUCUCUGAUGGAAGAACUUGUAAAACUGAAACUUGAUAAUUGUCAAUCUCAUCCCAGGCUGCUUAAGAUGUUGUUGUAGGAAAUUUAGUAUGGUGAGAAAAAGAUUCAUGUAGGCAACCCAAAUUUCAAUUACCACAAUUUUAAUGAAGUUUUUAGUGUUAUUGAAAGGGGAAAAAGAUUCAAGUUCAUUUCUGUUUCUUUAGCACCCUAUCCACAAAACCAUCAGAUUCUUUUUCUUUUUCUUUUAUCAGUCGGAUUGGUCUUCUCUUGUAUAAGUAUUUCCAUGUAGGAGUGCACAUCUUAUGUUUUAACUAGAUCAGUUGACAAACUUACUAGAUAGUAUUAAAUUAUUUGGAAAUAAGGAGCUGUCUCAAUGGAGAAAAACAGGUUGGAAAGAAUCAAAUGAACCCCUUUCAAGCCAAGUCCACUUCCAGAUUAAAUUGCUUUACAAGGAAUAAAUAUUUACAGAAUAAGUCCGCCAAUGUCCAAAAAUUAUCUAUUUUGUAUAUGAAUUUGACCCUUUGCUUCCUGAGAUUCUAUAAUUUGACCUCCACACUUGGAAGCUCUCCAAGUGAAUCAAUUGGGAGAUGCAAGGAUGAUAAUCAAGGUGAUGCAUGCCAACAAGAAGUAGACAGUAAUAAAGUUGCAAGCCGUGGUAAGGUAACUUAAUCUUCAAUUAAUACUUAUUUUCAAGCCAGUGAAAAGAUUUUAACUGAUAGAAACGGGAGGAAAAAGUAAAUCUGUAGGAGUUUCGUUGACUCAUAGAAGAUCUCCAAAGAGAUUUGAGCAAAAGAAUUGAUCGAGCAAGUAGAAGUCAGUACACAAUAGAAGACAUUAACAAGCAGAGAUUGUAUAGAUGCGCAUCCGCUUGAUUAUAAACUAAAUUUACAAGUGAAUGAUGGAAGAUUUCAUCCCAUGAGAGGUCGAAGUUCUUCGCAUUGUAAAGAACUUAAUGAUUAAAUCAACAAAAAGUUUUAACUUAAUGAUUAAAUUAUUUAUUAUCAAAUAUGAGGCUCGUUUGAAAUUAUUUUUUCUUAAAUUAAAAUAAAAAUUAAUUUUAGUGGUUGUCAAAAAUAACUAACUAAUAUGUUUUAUUUAUUUUAAUAAAAUUUUAAUUUUAGUAAAAUCUAAAUAUUUUAAAAUAUUUAUAUUUAGUCAAAUAUUGAAAAAUUCUUAUAAUUUAAUCUUAAGUUAUUAAAAUAAGAUAAAUAUUAUUUUUUUAUUAGUUCUGUUACAUUAUAAUUGUUAUUCUAAUAAAUUUUAAAUUAAUAAAUAAAAUAUAAUAGAAUCCAUAUUAAAUCAAAAUUAAAGAAUAAAUGAUACAAAAUUAAUUUUAAUUAAUAAUUAUUUAACUGAAAUUCUAAUAGAAAGAUUAUUUAAUUUAAAAGUAAAUAAAAAAUAAAAAUAAAAGUAAUAUAAAAAAUAUACAUAUAAGUGGUAUAUAGAUAUUACCUCUAAUCAUUUUUUUCUCCUUUGCAUGUUUGUUUACUUUUGAUAAUUUAACUAUUGUUCUUUAAUAAAAAAUUCCAACUAUAGUUAUAUGGAGCCCGUAUUGUUCUUGCCUAUGAAUUUUGGUAUGUUUAUUCACUUUUAAUAAUCUAACUAUAGUUAAGUAGGGUCGUAUUCUUCUUGCUAUUCACUUUUAAUAAUCUAACUAUGGUUAAGUAGGGCCGUAUUCUUCUUGCCUAGCAAUUUCGCUAGCACGGUUGAUACCGAGAAUAUUUUAAUGAUUAAUUGUAAAAUUGAACCACCAUGUUUUAUUCUUGGUAACCAACCAAUCAGCAUCAGACACUUGUUUAUAGGCUAAUUCAACCAAACAUUAUAUUUUAAUUUCUAAUUAAGAAAAAAAAUAUUAGACAAAUGCUUAUUGCAUACGUUUUUUUUUUCAAAUUAAUUAAAAAAAUACCUCCAUAUUUCAGAUUCUUAGAUUUUUAUGCUUUAUUUUUACUUUCUUUUAUAUAUAUAUAUAUAUAUAAAUAUAUAUUAUUGUGGUAUUCUAUUUUCUUGCAUUACCCCAAUCAUAAAGAAAACAUUGUUGCAGAGUCUUCUAUUUAACUAUUAACACAAGUUCAUCUUCACAACCUUCCUACCGUUGGAUCUUCUCAAAAUAACACACAAACCCUUUCACAUGGCUCAAAAAGAAUAUAUAAAACAUUAACUAGCACAAGUUAGCAGUGGCUCCUUCAACAUAGACAAACUUAUAAAACUGAAAUUUGAUAAUUAUCAAUCUCAUGUCUGGUUGCUUAUGUUGUUGUAUAAAAAUUUAGUACUGUCAGAAAAAAGAUUCAUGUAGGCAACUCAAAUUUCAGUUACCAUAAUUUGAAUGAUAUUUUUAGUGUCACUUAAAGGAGAAAAACAUUAAGUAUCCACAAAAAAUUAUCAAUUUUUUUUUUAUCAGUCAGACCGGAAAGGUCAAACUUAAAGAGUUCUUCUUGUAUAAGUACUUCCAUUUAAAGGUGCACGUCUCAUGAUGAAUAUGUUUUAUGAUUUCUAUUCUAGUUUUUGAUUAAUAGAUAUUUGAUAAAUGAAGAUAUUUCAAUUCGAGAUUUUGUUAAUUCUUAUAAAUAAAAAUACACUUUAUAAGCAAUGAAUAUACCGUAUGUCCAUAAAAUAAAUCAGUAUUUAUAGGUUAAAAAACAAUAGGUUCAUUAUCUAUAAAUUAUAAGUUCAUCAAAUGUAAACUCGAGAUUCAUUUAAUAUAGUACACAUAUUAAUAUCUAUAGAAGAGUCAUUUAGUCUCAAUUAAUUAUUUAUUUUCUAUAAUUAAACUUAUUAAAUGCUUUCUUAAUCUAAAUAAAAUACCAAAAAAUAUUAAUUAGUUGAAUAUAUACUUUAUAAGUGAUGAAUCUAAAAUCCAUGUUAAAUAAACUUGACACUAAUAAUAAAUGAAUAUACACUUUAUAAGUAAUGAUUACACUGUAUAUGUAUAAAAUAAAUCAGUAUUCAUAGGUUAAAAAAUAACAGGUUCAUUAUCUAUAAACUACAAGUUCAUCAAAUGUAUACUUGAGGUUCAUUUAAUAUAGUACAUAUAUUAAUAUCUAUAGAAGAGUCAUUUAGUCUCAAUUAGUUAUUUUUUUCCUAUAACUAAGUUUAUUAAAUGUUUUCUUAAUCUAAAUAAAAUACUAAAAAAUGUUAAUUAAUAUGAAUAUACACUUUAUAAGCGAUGAAUCUAAAAUUCAUGUUUAAUAAUAAAUGAACAUGUACUUUAUAAGUAAUAACUAUACCGCAUGUGCAUAAACAAAUCAGUAUUCAUAGUUUAAAAAAUAUCAGAUUCAUUAUCUAUAAACAAUAAGUUCAUCAAAUGUACACUUGAGGUUUAUUUAAUAUAGUACACACAUUAAUAUUUAUAAAAGAAUCAUUUAGUCUCUAUUAGCUAUUUUUUUCUAUAAUUAAGCUUAUUAAAUGCUUUCUUAAUUUAAAUAAAAUACUAAAUGACUAUUAAUUAGUAUGGAAUGAAAAGAGUAACUAUUAAUAAAAAAUUUAAUAAAAAAUAAUUAAAAUUUAAUAAAAAUUAAAAUUAUAUUUAAAAUUUAAUUCUUAAUAAAAUUAUUAAUUUACCAAAUAUCAAAUACAAAUAUCAUAUUAUGAAUUUUAUAAUUAAUUAGUUUGUAAUAUGACUAUUUUAUUAUCCAAAAGACUAUAAGGAAAAGAAAAAAAUUAUAUACAAUUAGAAAAACAACCAAACAAAAUCCUGAAUAUAAAAAUUAUGUCAGUGUAAAAUGGCCUAAGUUCACAAUGCUGUGGGAGCAUGAGUCCAUAAUAUAAUUUAUUUUAAUGUGAUUAUAGAAUAAAAAAAAUACAUUAAUUCAGGUAUCUUUGUUUACCAUUUUUUUUUUCAAAAGUUAUAUUACAAAAACAAUUCAUGGACACACUUGUUUUCACAAUAAGUCCACUUUGAUUCAAUUAUGCAAGAAUAACGAUAACAACAAUAUCUUCACAUAAUUAAACCGUAAACAUGACUAACUUGAUGAUUAUUGUAAACUAUAAUUUGACUUUUAUGGUUUGAAAUGAUUCUUGUUAUAAGAUAUCAAAAUUAAGAACUUAACUCAGUUGUCUUAGGUUAAUAGUUUACUAAACUAAGUUCAAACUUGAGUUAAUUACAUUGAGUUUUAUUGUUUUUCUAAGACAAAGUCUUUUGUUGACUCAUAAAUCUUUUUAGUAAGUACAGUUGACUUGUCAUAUUAUCUUUUUUUAUGGUAAAAUUAAAAAAUUAUCAUUGAAAAUUUAUUUUUGAGAACAAGUGAAGUAUUUCAUAAAAUUUCUUAAAACAACUAGAUAAUGUUGUUGAAAAUAUACUUUUAAAGUUUAAUUUGUAAACAUGCCUUUACUAUAAUACAAUUCAACUAUUGAAUAAACAAAUACAUUUAUUAAUUGCAUGUUUUUAUUUUUUGUUCUAAAAAUUAUUAUUUUAUUUUACCUAUACAAGCUUGUAAACUUUUUCAAUACUUUUAAUAAAUAAAUACUCGUAUGUGAUAGGUCCGUGGAAUGUACAAAAUAAAUAUAAAAUAAUUGAAAUAAAUAUCAAAGUUUAAUACUCCUAUCCCAUAUAUAAAACUAAGCCUUUUAGUAUAAAGAAUUAAUAUAUUUAAUUAAAACAUAAAGCGAAAAAGAAGAAAAAUCGACGUUUAACAUAUUAGGAGUUUAUUAUACAAUUAGAUACAAUUGUUAAGGAAAUAUAAAUUUUUUAAAUUUAAUUUAUAAUUAGGCCUUUUCUAUAAUACAAUUCAACUAUUGAAUAAGCAAGGAUUUUUUUAAUAUGUAUGUUCUUUUUACUCUAAAAUUGUUAUCUUAUUUUAUUUAUAGUUGCAAAUAUAUAAUUUUUCAACACUUUAAAUGAACAAAUACUCAUACUAAUAGGUCCAUAAAACUUCAAAAGAGUUUUUAAAAGAUGGUAUUGGCAAAAUAAAUAAAUAAAAUUAAAAUGAAUAUCAAAUUUCAGUGCUCGUGUAUAAAAGAAUUAAGCUGAUUAUUAUAUAGGAGUAAUAUAUUAAAUUAAAGUUAUAAAGCUAAGAACAAGAAAAAGUCUACCUUCAAUAUAUUAGGAGUUUAUGUGGUAAUCUCACUGAAAUGCUAAGAUUAUAUCCAUAUUAGGUUUAAGCAUCAAUCGUGCACAACUUCACUCAAUAACUUUUAUUAUUAAAAUAAAAUUUAUAAAUUAUAUAUCAAAUUUAUAAAUAUUAUUUAAUAGAUUCAAAUUAUAUAUAAAUUUUUAAAGUAUUUUAGAGCUUUAAUAAUAUGAUUUCUAUAUAUAGUAUAGUGAAAAUAUAUGUUUUUACCUCACUUAAACUUAAUUGUCUAUUUUCAGGUAAUAUUAAUCAAAAGAGAAAAAUAUAUAGCUAAAUACUAAAAAAGAGGCUUAAUUGGAUAUGUUCGUGUCAAACCUAAGAUUAAGACGCAUAUAAUUGGAUAUGUUCGUAUCAAAGCCUAAGAUUAAGACGCAUAAACUGCUGUUUAUAAGGCCUGGCCAAAAAUUACAAGGCCCAAUAGAUAUCUUAGUCAUUUUGUAUAAUUAUUAGUAUUUAUAUUAAAAGUUAUUUAUGAAAUAGUAUUUGGUGGAGAUGAAGAUACCUAUAUUCUUCUCUCUCUCUCUCUCUCUCUCUCUCUCUCUCUCUCUCUCUCUCUCCUAUCUGCUCUCUACAUCUGUCCAUAAUUAUUUUCUCUACAGUUCUUCAAUAAACACUUUAUUUCAGUUUUUAUUACUUUUUUUUUAAGAUUUAAGGAGCUUUUCAUGUGAGAAUCAAUCAUCUUCCUUACUUAAAGAAAUUCUGGAUCUAUAAUAAGCUUUUACUUUAUUGUUUUAUGUCUUUCUAUUUAAUACCAUGAUCAUUGGAUUAAAUAUGUUAGAGUAGUUUUCAUAAGUGUUUAGUUUAGCUUUUUUACUUUUGUAUGAAUCUUGUUGUUUAUUUAUUUAAUGAAUGAUUUCUUUAUCUUCAUAUCCUUAAUAGUUUCAGUUAUUGUUGUUAAUUAACCAUCAUAUUAAUUUAGCAAUAGUAAUAGUUAUUAACAUAUUUAGGUUAAAUGUAUUAGAGACACCAAUUUUGUUUCAAUCUAUGUAGGUAUAAAAAAUUUUAGUUACAUUAUUAGUUUGAGUGACUAAAAGAAAAGACACAUCACCAUCUCAUUCAUUAGAUCUAAGGCUUAAAGGAAAACAAUGAGAUUACUAAGUAAAUGGUUAAACUAAAUACUGUCUUUAACAUAUAGUUUUAAAUUAUAAGCAUAUGCAUUUGUAUUGCAUAUUUGUUUAUUAUUUGGUUACUUUACUUUAUGAAUAUUAUUCUCUCAAAAAUAUUAGAGUGUUUAAAUUUACUUUUAUUGUUUUGUGUUGAUAAUUAGUUUUUAUAAUAAGUGGCUUCAUAGUUCCUUGAAGAUCGACCUCGUGGUGAACUUACUCUCAUUAUAAAAACGGUUCAUGCAUUUGCGAGUACUAAUUUAAACACAUUAUUAUUAUUAAACUAAGUAUGAAUAUAAAAAAAGAAAAAAAUUUAAAUGUAUCUUUACUUAAAACUAGAUAAAUUAAUAUUAAGGGUUUAGAAUUUAUCGACCCAAACCGAUUUAAGAUGCAUUUUAAAUAAUCAUUAAAUCAGAGCCCAAUCAUGAUUCAAGCCCAGCCCAUCCCAAACCCUAGGUGCAAGAGUUGGUAGAGUUCUUUACUCUAACUAGAUAUUUCCAUCUAAUCUAAGAGAAACUGAAAUAGAAGCAAAUAGUGCAAUAAAAUAAACAUUUUUUUUUGGGAGCAAAACAAAAACUUCCACAAACUGAGGGGGCAGAAAUACAACGCACUUUUUUUUCUCUCUAUUUUCUCUUUUCUCUCCCUCGUCUCCAAAAAUUUUCACUCUUUUUCUCUUCCCGCUGUCCUUUCCCUCCCUUCACUUUCUUCCUUUCUAAAAUCAGUAAAAAUAACUGAAAUCCAUGGACUCACAGUCACAACCCAAGUAAGUAAACCUUCUCUUUAAAUCUCUUGUUACCUUGAUAUAUCGAGAUUGCUAGGGUUUUUUCUUGUUCCAUAUGCUCAAUUGGGUUUCAAUUCCUUAAUGUUUGCCUGCAUGCCUCCGCAUUUUGACUUGUUAAGUGACUUUAUCAUUAUGUUUAUUGUUGAUCCAGGAUUCGUGUUUUGCUUUCUUUUUGGCUAAAUAGUAUUGGGUCUUAUCUUAAACGUGUGUUUGCGGGGGGUGGGGAAUGACGUGCUUUAACCGUAGGAAAGUUUAAUAUUUGUGUGUUUGGUUUUGGGUAUAGUUUGUUUCUUUUAUCAUACCAGAGUAUGUUUUGUUGAUAUUACUUAAUGUUCUGUCAAUAUUUUGUUUACUAUUAUUGCUGUUAGUCUCAGUUAACCUGUAUUUGCUUUUGUUUAUAUACAUGCAAAAUGGGAAUUCGUGAUUGGCUUAUCCGUGAUAUACCUAAAUUUCAUAGCUGUUUUUUUUUUUUUUUCUAAAGCAACCCUCACUUAUGUGGUUUUGUUAAGUUGCUAAGUGGACAUAAUUUAUUGCAUCUUAAUGCAAAUUUCAGGUGUCAAAUACUACAAUUUUGUAGUAGCGGGAUGAUUUGAAGUUUGUUGGAUAAGGGCCAGUGCUUUUCCUAUCUCAUUUCUUCUCCUUUUGAAGAUUUUGUUUCCGAACCUUUAUUUUUAAAUGGUAAAUCAGUUAUUAUUUUCAAAGAAGUAUAUUCGUGGUAAAGCAGGAUGAGCGGAAAAAUUGAGCUAAACUUGUUUGCCUUGUAUUGAUGCAGUGUGAAGAUUUUGGAUGAUUUGUUGAACUUUGGUGAGAUAGGACCGGGUAAUUUGCUGCUGGUCUUCUAGCUAUAUUUUCCAUAAGCAAGUGUAUCUGGCUGGAUUUUUGGGUUUCAAAUGACCAUGGAAUGCAACAAAGAGGAGGCCUUCAGAGCAAAGGAACUUGCAGAAAAGAAAAUGCAAAAUGGGGAUUAUGUAGCUGCGCGGCGGAUUGCAUUGAAGGCACGCCAACUCUAUCCUGAUCUGGAUAACAUAUCCCAACUUCUAAUGGUCUGUGAGGUUCACUGUUCUGCACAAAACAAAUUAAAUGGGUCAGAAAUGGAUUGGUAUGGAAUUCUCCAAAUAGAAAAGUUUUCAGAUGAGGCCGUUAUUAAGAAGCAAUUUAGAAAGCUUGCACUCUCACUUCAUCCAGACAAGAAUAAGUUUUCUGGUGCUGAGGCUGCUUUUAAGCUGAUUGGCGAAGCCAAUAGGGUGCUUACAGACCCAAGCAAACGUCCAGCAUACGAUAUGAAGUGUAGAGGUACGUUUAAACCGGUUGCACCAAAGCCACCAUCUGAGCAGUCAAAUAAGAACGUGUUUGUCAAUAAACAAAAUGGGGCUGCAAAAAAGUUUUCUAAUGCUCCUCAGACACAAUACACAAGCUCACAUGCUAAUCAACAGCCAACUCAGCAAACAUUCUGGACAGUUUGUCCCUCCUGUAAUGUAAGGUUCCAAUAUUUCAGAGAUUUGCUAAAGAAACUGUUACGUUGUCAAAGUUGUCACCAGCCUUUCAUUGCCCAUGAGUUGUUUACGCCAUCUGGAUCCACCUGGAAUCAUUUCAUGAACGAGAAAAGAGUUCCAAAUCAUGGUUCCUCUAAAGCUUUCCCACAGAAUUAUGCUGGAAAGCCUUCUGGUAUGAGUUUUCCACAUAGGUUUUCGGGAUCAGAUCCAAUGCCUCAUGUAGGAAAGGCAACUGAUGUUGGUGGGAAUAAACCCAAAGAAGUGAAGGUAGAAAAUGCUACUGGAAUUGGUAGGGUUACUAUUCAACAAAGGAAAGUUAAUGGCCAUGUGGAUGUGAAAGCUGAGAAUGGAGGUGUUCCAGUUUCAAUGCCUGAUGCUAUGAAACCCAAAGAAUCAGGAAAUUCAGAAAGUGCUACUAAUAAGAGAUGUCGGAAUUCAGUGGAGGAAUCCAGCAAGAAUUUUGACAAAGGAAGCAUAGUUGGCAGUGAAGAAAAUGUCAUUAGGGAGGAAAAUGGAGGUGAUCCUUCUGCUCAGAAUUCUGGAUCCAGUGUUGGCCAUCAGUCUAGGAGAUCUUUGAGGCAGAAGCAACACAUAUCUUACAAGGAUAAUUCUGAUGAGGAUGAUUUUGUUGCCCCCCCUCCGAAAAGAUCAAGGGGGAACAGCUCAUCUAAUGUGAAUGAUGUGCAGACAAAAGCAGGAACUGUGGAUGGCGGGGUACCAAAAGAAGAUGUUUCAGCCGGUUCUGCUGCUUCUUUUUUGAAUAGAAACAGUAAAGCGGUCAAACGCAAAGCCAAUUCCAGUUUUGAUGAAAGGCAAUUAAACCAGAAUAGAGAAAGUGGAGGUUCUAAGGCUGAAGGAGAGGAAGCAUCCAUGCCUGAGAGGGCAGGUACCAAGUCAGAGAAUGAUGAUGAAAGAUUGAAAACUGACACAUCUGAGUUGGAUCUAAAACCAAAAAUCUUUGUAUGUGCUGAUGCAGAUUUCAGCAAUUUCGAAAAAGAAAGGGCUGAAGUCUCUUUUGCUGUUAAUCAAGUAUGGGCCAUUUAUGAUUCACAUGAUGGUAUGCCAAGAUUUUAUGCCCGGAUCCGAAAGGUUUUCAGACCUGGUUUCAAGCUGCAAAUCACUUGGCUAGAAUCAAUAGUGGAUGGCGAAGCUGAGCAAAAGUGGUGUGAUGAGGGUUUGCCUGUUGGUUGUGGGAGCUAUGAAUAUGGAGAGACUGAAGAAACCGUAGAUCGUUUGAUGUUCUCUCAUAAAAUGGAUUGCAUGAGUGGUGGACUCAGAGGUACUUUUUGUAUAUAUCCUAAGAAGGGGGAAACUUGGGCCCUCUUUAAGGAUUGGGAUGCAAAAUGGAGUUUGGAACCGGAGAAACAUAGGCCUCCAUACCAAUUUGAAUUUGUGGAGGUCUUGACAGAUUUUACCAAGGACGCUGGUAUUGAAGUUGCUUGUUUGGGCAAAGUGAAGGGAUUUGUUAGCAUCUUUCAGCAAGCUAACUGUGAUGAGGUUUUAUCAUUUUGCAUACGGCCAAGUGAGCUGUACAGAUUUUCUCACCGUGUACCUUCGGUUAGAAUGUCUGGCAAGGAAGGAGAAGGUGUCCCUGCAUGUUCUUUUGAAUGUGAUACUGCUGCUCUGCCUAGCAAUUUAGUUACCCUGGUUGAUACUGAGAAUAUUUUUAAGAAUACCGGGACUGGUCCUCGAAAAGGAACCUCCAUACUUGGAAGCUCUCCAAGUGAAUCAAUUGGGAGAUGCAAGGAUGAUAAUCAAGGUGAUGCAUGCCAACAAGAAGUAGACAGUAAUAAAGUUGCAAGCCGUGGUAAGGUAACUCAAUCUUCAAUUAAUACUUAUUUUCAGGCCAGAGAAAAGAUUUUAACGGAUAAGAAACGAGAGGAAGGUAAAUUUGUAGCAGUUUCGUUGACUCCUAGAAGAUCUCCAAGAGAUUUGAGCAAGAGAAUUAAUCAAGUAAGUAGAAGUCAGUCCACAAUAGAAGACAUUAACAAACAUAUGGAAAUAAACAGAGAUUGUAAAGAUGGGCAUCCAGGUAUUUCCUCGGGUCAACUUGAUGAUAAACUACACUUACAUAGGAAUGAUGGAAUAUUCGCCAGUCCCAUGAAGGGUCGAAGUUCUUCGGGUUGUAAAGUUAUAGAAGUUGACGGAUAUGAUUUCAGGAAGGAAAAAUCUGAGGAUAAAUUUCGAUCGGGACAGAUAUGGGCAGUGCACAGUGAUAAGGAUGGGCUACCUAGGAAUUAUGUUCAAGUAAAAAAGAUCGAAACUGGAACUGGCUUUAGACUGCAUGUGGCAAUGCUCGAAACCUGCACGCUCCAGAAAGACAGGAGGCAGCCUGCUUCUUGUGGGACAUUUAGAGUUAAAAAUGGUAAUUCUAAAGUGCUUCUGAUCAAUGCAUUCUCUCAUAAAGUUAAAGCAAAGUCAACGGGGAGGAAUACCUAUGAAAUUUUCCCUAGAAAAGGUGAGAUCUGGGCAGUAUACAAGAGCUUGAAUUCCGAGGUAUCGUGUUCAGAUCAGGGCACAGGGGAAUGUGACAUUGUUGAAGUGAUAGAAGAUAAUAGCAGGGGUGUGAAAGUUGUAGUUUUGAUGCCUGGUAAAGGACAGGACACUCUUUACAUGUCUCCAACUUCGAAAAGAUUAAAAAGCAGUAUUAUGGAUAUACCUCGGACGGAGUUUGCCAGAUUUUCUCAUCAGUGUUUAGCUCACAAGCAUGCAGAAGAGAAUGAUAGUCGCUUGAGAGGCUAUUGGCAGCUUGACCCUCCCUCUAUUCCUGGCAAUGUCAUAUUAGUAGAAUGACUGGCAGAAAUAGAAUCGUGCUGACGAUAUUGUUUCCUGUUUCUUUUCCUUUUUUUUUUUUUUUUUUUUUUUCUCUUUUUCUUCAUGGCUGUAUCUAAUUUAGGAAUGGAACUUGCCAGAUUGCUCCCUGUGAAAAGCGGAAUGAAGUUAGCAGAAGCUCGACUAGACAUCUUUGCUUCUUUAUGAUUUUCUUGCCUUUUCUUAAAUAUUAUACAUUUCUGUUUUUUUUUUUUUUUUUGUUGCUCUGCUAGCUCCUUUUUCUUUAUUUUUUGGUUUUCAGAUACGUAUUAGCUCUUGUUGGAUGAUAACUUCACCUAUUUGUUCAGAGAAAUAAAUGUCUCAGGUACUGUAGCACUUGAUAGAAAUCUAAUGUAAUGAAGAGGCCUGAGCUAGGAGACGAUCGCUGUUAAAAAGAAAAUACUAGUUUUACAAAAACUGUAGACAAUUUCACCAGUCAGGGCAUUUGGUCUAGUGGUAUGAUUCUCGCUUUGGGUGCGAGAGGUCCCGAGUUCGAUUCUCGGAAUGCCCCAUUAUGUUUUGUUUCUUUCUUUUUGUUUCCUCUCUUCGAGCAAUUGAAAUUUUCUGUUUACCGCGUGGAAUUUCUCAUAUAUUCUUGUUACCUUUCUUGAGUAAAGAUUUCAUUUUUCUAACAAGUAACAUUUGCAUUAUAAUAAUAUAUUUUUUAUAUUUAUUUUAUUAUCGUGUUUCUAAUAUUAUAAUAUAAUUAAAUAAAUUUUUUUUAAUCAAUAAAAUUUAAUCUCGAAAAAUAGCCCAUAAUUUAAUAAAUUAUUCUAGUCAAAUAAUAAUUAUUGAUAAAUAAUAAAUGAAUUAUACUUUUAAUACUAAAUAUAAUAAUUUAAAAGUAAUAAAAGAAUUUUUUUUCUUACAUGAUAUAGGAUUAAUUAUAUCAUUUAUUGAUUUGCUAUUACAUAUAUUGAAUUUGAUGUUAGUCAAAAUUUAUAUAUAUAAAUAUUUUUUAAUGUAAAAUGUCUAUUUAAGUUCUAGAAUUAAAAUAUUUAACUAAAUAAUAGCAAUAAUUAUGUAAUAAUAUAAAAAGCGUACUUAAUUAUAUAAAUUUUAUUAGUUAUUUAAUUAAUUUUUUAUUUAUAUAAUAAUUAUAUUUAUUUUUAAAUUAAAAAUAUUUAUAAAAAAAUAAUAGAUAUAUAUUCCGUCGUAUCACACGUCUAAUUAAAACAUAUUAAUCAUAUUUCACAUUAAACCUAUAUAUAAAAAACAGUGGAAAAGAGCACUAAGAAAAAGAAAAAUCUAUUCCCGAAAAGAAAAGCCAUAAUGCGCUCCGUUUUGGCAGCGGUUCUUAUGACUUAACUUUCAAGCACUGAUCCUUUGCAUAUACACAUCUCGAAUUUUCGAAUCAGACGUUUUUUUUGGUUAUCUGCAUUUAAAACCGUUGUUUUAGCAGCCUAAAUAACCUUCAGAUUUUGAUUCUCUGUCUGUUGUUCCAGAAACCUAGAGCGGGAAGUCGCAGUUACUCAGAUAACCAGGUCAUGGCCUCCUGAUUACCCUGAGCCGCGCGCAAUCAGGCAACAAGGCAAUCCAAACAAUAAGCAUUCAAACGAUAGAAUUCACCACAUAAACUAAGAAUUACAAGUAGGAUCAAUCACGAGCCGCUGAAAAACAGGAAACGAGAGAGGAAGUAAAUAUUUGAGGUAAACUUUUACCUUUUCUCUUGGUUUUAUUUGUUUACAUUGAUUGCUUAUUUAGGUUUUGAGGAAUUAAAUCUAUGAAUUUUGUUAUUGUUGCUUUUAAUUUUUCAGAUUUGAAUUUAAUUUGAUGAAAUCUUCAUAUCUUCUUCUCUUUUUCCCCUCAAAUUUCAUUUUUGGUAUUUAAUUCAAUUUCAUUUGAUUUUUUCUUUUGGUGUUUCAUACUUUUUGAGAUUAUUGUAAUCUGGGAAGAUUGUAACUUUCUAUUACUGUUCAUAUUUGGACAAAAAAAUUUUAGUUGGUUAAAUUGUUUUAGGUGAGUUAAAGCUUUUCACUUAAAGAAUCUGAAAAUGGAAAAACAAAAGUUUCCUUCUUUAGAACUUUCACUUCAGUCUGCAAUUUCUAGGAAGGCGCAUUGUUGAGUUAUGGAUUUUAAUUUGUUGUAACUUAAUGGUAUUUGUUAAGCUCCUUUGUUAGCAAGGAAAUUUUACCCUGAUUUACGCAGAUUAACCAAAUUGUAACAUAGUCGAGCUAAUACUAGGUUCUUUUAAUGCUAGGUGGAGCUCUAUUUUUCAUUAAUUUAUUGUUGUGGGAGUUGUUGUUAGUUGACGAAUUAUGUUAAGGCGUUUGGAAUGACACUUAUGAUCCUGAAAAUGGUAGCAUUUUUUUAUGGGAAGCAUUCUAUGUCAAUACAAGCUGUCAGUAAUCAAGUCAUAUAAUCUUUUGCUCAUAGGAGGAUCUGCUCAGUUUCACUAGCUUAUGGAACAAGAGAAUAAGAUUAAAGAAGCUGACAAGCCUGCAGAAGCGUCUGCCACGUCACUGGCAUCAGAACAAACAAACGAGGAAGCUGCCAGGAAAUCACAAUCAUCUGAAAUGAAUAACAGGAGAGCGGAGAAUCCUGGGGAAGGACCCAUUAAAGCAGAAUCAUCAAAAAAAAGAACCCCCAAAUCACUGAAGGCCAAAUCUAAAAUCAAGAAGGGAUCCCCAGGUGGCAUCUCUUUAAAAACCGAGAAAACUAAAGGCAAUCAACAGUUUUGGGGGAGAAACCGAAAGAAGAAGAAUAAGAGUGCAAUUAAAGAAAAGGAAGAAGAUAACAAAAAUGAGUCUGCAAAUAAUAAGAACCAGAGUUCAAGGGAAGAUAAAAUACAAAAGAACAGCGCCCUUGAAGAGCAUAGUGGUAAGGGCCAAGGGACCCAAAAGAACCAAGAAAAGAUUGCUGGCUGUAGUAGAAGCCAACGUAACCAAAAGAGUGAAGAUAAGCAUGGUGGCCAAGAUAAGAGCUCAAGGAAUCCAAAGAACAAAGGAAAGCUUGAUUUGAAGGAAAAGAGCCAAGGAGAUCAAAAGAAGAAAGAGAAGCUUGGUGGUUUGAUCUUUAUGUGUAAUUCAAGGACCAAACCAGAUUGUUUCCGUUAUCAAGUCAUGGGGAUGACAUCAAGUAAAAAAGAUCUUGUUUUGGGUGUGAAACCUGGACUUAAGCUUUUCCUGUAUGAUUUUGAUUUCAGACUAAUGUAUGGGAUCUACCAAGCAUCUUCUUCAGGUGGAAUGAGACUGGAGCCCAAGGCUUUUGGUGGUUCCUUCCCUGUUCAGGUUAUGUUUUACUAUAACUAAUCUAACUUCUUUUGGUAACAAUUUCCGUUUUCUUUACCACUUUAGAAUUUAGUCAGAUCUUCACACUGACAUUUCUGAAGUUCAGGUGCGGUUCAGUGUCCAUAAGGAUUGCGUUCCACUCCCUGAGAGUGUUUUUAAGAAAGCUAUAAAGGACAACUAUGACGCAAGCAACAAAUUUGACAUUGAACUUACCAUUCCACAAGUGAGAAUCUCUGAUUUAAUGUGCUAAUUUGGUGGCAUUGCUUCUUAAUAUUAGCAGUCAUGACUUUUCCAAUUUUCCCUUUUAGGUGAGGAAGCUCAGCGAACUUUUCCGACCAGUUGCAUUCCAGUCUGUUAAGUUAGCUGCAGUUCCUGUCCAUUCUGUACCAGUGACAACUAUUCGGGAAAGGGAAGUUUAUGAUAGACUAAGAGAGUCACGACCCCAUUCAGAUAGGGAAACAUUUGUGAGAGUCAAUGGUGAUAGUAGGAGGUAUCCUGUGCGCUCUCGUGAGAGGGAUCAGCAUAUUGAGCACCGGGAGGUGGUACCAAUACAUAGAGAGGAAGCUCCCCAUGAUUUAUACAUGAGCGAAAAGGAGUAUCGUACUUAUGGUCUUCAAAGAGAGAGAAGAAACUUGACUCCUUCACAUAUUGCUGCUUCCGCUCUAGAUUGCUAUCCUAGGAAUCUGGAAAAGGAGCACCUUAUUAGACAGCCAGCCCCUCCGUACAGUGAUACUGUCCCUGUGCUUAGAGAAUCAGUUCUUGCAGAUCCACUCUACUCGACUCAGAGAGAGUUCCGCACAUAUAAUAUUGGUGGUAGAAGUGAAUUGCUAAAUGCAGCUCCUUCAGUUUCUGCAGUGUCAUCUAGUUCUGCUGUUGCAGCAUUAGACUCCUAUAGAAGGGAUCCAUAUAAUUCUUACCAGUUUGGUACUUCGUCUGCGAGUGUGUAUUCCCUGCCUCCAAGGAGGGAAGAAGUUUCUUUAGGUUCCUAUUAUAUUGAUGGUAGGAGAAAGACUUACCUAUCCGAGGCUGAUCCUUUGCAUAGGAGAGAAACUGAUCCAGUGAAUAAAUUAUACUUGAAGUAUGGGGUUGAACCAUUAUCAGAUUAUAAACAGGUACAUGAAGAAGCCAAACGAGAAACUGUGCCUCCACCUGUUUCAUCGCGGUACUCAUUUGCGGGUCCAUCUGUGUCUUAUCGAUAAGUGAAAUCACAUUAAUUUCAAUCCUUUUGAGUUGCCUAUAUUUAAUGCAUAAGACAGAUUUCAGUUGUAGACAGUUGCAAGGAUGCAAGCAUCAGUAGGCUCUUUAGGGUUGUGUUUUAUUCCUUGCACUAUAUCAAGAUUUGAAUUGUUAGUUUUAGUUCCAGCAAGUUCGGAAGGGAAUUAGCUUCCACAUUCAUAUUACUAAUAUAUGCUGGUAACCUCUAUCUGAGAUGCAUUUCCAUUUUUAAUUUGGAUUCCACCUGAGUUCUGGAAUUUGUUUCCAGGGGAAUGAAUGAUAACACAUCAACUGACUCGCCUUCAGUGUUUUGAUCUUGAGUGGUACAAAUGCUUUACACAUUUUAACUCAAAUAAAUUCAGAGUGAUUUUUCUGCAGUGAUUGUCAGGGGUCCAAGAAGUCAAAAUCUUGACCAUCAGUUUAUAGUGGAAGAGAAUGAAGGUUAUGGGCUGGAUCUGAACUUUGGAAUGGAACAAAUGAAAAUAACAUCCUCGCGUUCAAUUUCAGCGAAGUUUCGAAUCCCAGAUCUUUUCUGUUCUUUUUUGAACUGAAAAAUCUUCAAGUUUGAAGUCAAUAGUAAAUGGAUGUAAAUUCGACGUCGCCAAAAGUUGGCUUCCAAGGAAGAAUUGAUGAACUUUAGCAUGUGACUAUCAUAAAAGUUCCUGAAAACUUACCAGAAGAAUUCCAAACAUUCGACGCAGAAUUAUAACUUUCUUGCCAUGAGAAAGAAGAAAUCCAUGCUAGACCCGUAUCCAUUCAGGGAGACUACUCUAGUCAACGGAUUUGCUUUUAAUUUUAUCAAUUGAGGUUUAAAUCAGUAAGUACGGUUCAUUUUUCCAAUUCAAGCAUUAAUUGAAAUUGUUUUUCUUUUCAGGGAAAAAGUCUUCUAGUUUUGGCAUGAACCUUUUCUUUUUAAUUUAAUAAAAGAUAUAACUAAAAACUAAUCAAAGAAAAAUACAGAAUUGUGUAUAUCUCCAAACACGAUUUCCAGACCGGAACCUGCAGAUUAGGCUAACUGCGAUAGAGUAAGAUUCAUCUAAUUUAAUACAUAUGCUCCAAUAAAUGUAUAAAUAACACGUUAUGAAUAUUUUAUAUUUAAAUAUUUCAUAACUGAUAUAUAUUUUAAUGUAUAAUACUAAUUACAUCUAAUACUAUAUUUGGUUGAAAUCUAUUUAAAGAAUUUAUUUUAUUUGAAAAUAAGACAUUAAAAAAAAUAAAAAAUUAAAAGAUAUAUUUUAAUAUUAUUAAAUAUAUUAACUUAUUAAUAUAAAACUCAUUUAAAAAAUUUAUUUAUCAUGUUAGAUUUUAGUUUAGUAAUAAUCAAUAACAUAUAAAUUUAAUUAUAUAUAAUUUUAAAUUAAUUUUUAUUUCAUAGAAUAAAACUGCUUUCGUAAUUGAUUAUUACUAAACUAAAAUCUAACAUGAUAAAUAAAUUUUCUUACUUAAAAUGAACAAUUGGAAUUUGGCAGCAUCAUUCUUUUAAAAGUGUUCUCACCUGAAAAAAAUAAUUUAUUUACUAACUUUAUAAAAAAAAUAAUUUAUUUCAUAGAAUAAAACUGCUUUCGUAAUAGAAAAUUAUAAUUAAUAUAUAUUUAAAAAUAAUAACCGGUGGAUCAAACAAUAAACUUUAAUAAAGAAAAAGAAAAGACGAGGCCCAUGAUUUUUUUUGGGUCCCCUGCUAUAACCAAAUAUUGGUAUUAACCAACUAAAGUUAUGUUCGACCAAUAAAUGUAAAUGUCCAAGUCUCAGUUACCCUUUUUUCUUUUUUUGCGUCACCAGGGUGUCGUCACAGCUGAUUAAUUAUAUCACAAACAAUUUAAUAACAAUAUUUCAUUUCCAUUCAACUUUAUAGAAUAAUAAAUUAUAUAUCUAAUUCUGGCCCCCCUUUUUUUUUUUAAUUCUUUUUAAUGUAUGGUUGAACUUUUGUAUGAAAUGAAAAUUAUUCCCCUGUAUUUUUCUAAUUUUGACUGACUUGAUCUGAUCACCGUCUUUUCAAAAUCCCAACUUGUUCAAAUUUGAUUUCUUCACUCCAAAUUCCAUCCAUUCUUGAUAUCAGAUUAUCUACAAUGGACAUAAAAUUAAAAGAUUAUAUCACAUUAUUAUAAUAUCAUGUCCAGCAAAAUCUUAAUCCAAGGCUUAGUUUUUGCUUUUUGUUUUCUUCUUUGAUACUGAUUAUAAAAAUUGUAUCUCAUGCUCUAAGUAGUUAUCCAGAUUUUAGUAAUAACAUUAUUAAUCCUGCUUGUUGCUUCUUUGUUAUAUAAAAAUAAUAAAGCUUUGAUUUGCUGUGGCUUUCAUCUUAAACAAUGUACCUAAUCCAAUAAUUAUUUAACACAAAAAGAAAACCCUUGUUUGUUAUCUAUCACAGAAAGGUGAAGGCAUCACCGGCGACAUUCAAUAAACACUGUGCCCAUUCUCAAAUCAUUUCAACAAUCAUGAAUUAACAUCCCAAAUUUACAAAUUAGCACAGGAUGAAGGGAAAUCAUUGUUUACUUUCAUGUUGCUGCAUCCAGCUCCGCUCAACAAGCAUUUGCAUUUUCAGGUGAGAACAUUUUUAAAAGAAAAAAAAAAUCAUCAGAUUUACUGCACUCUAAUGUUUUUAUUAGUAUAAAUUAAAAUGAUUAAUGUAGUUUAUGUUUAAUUUUUAUUUUUUAUCAUAACGUAAUUUUGAUUUUUAGUUUAGCCUGGAUGACAACGGAAUAUCAAUGAGAGCAUGACAAAUGACAAAAUGAAAUUGCUAUUAAAAUUCCAAACUCAGAGAAGACCAAUAAUCAGUAUUUAUUCAUCGGUCUUUGUUUUGUUUUUCUUUUUGAGAAGGAUUCAUCGGUCUUUGUUAAGAAUAAUAAUAAAAGAAACAGAAUUUCCCUUCUUCUUCUCUCGAUUUUCCGCUAAAAAGCCUUUUAACGCGUAUAUAUACACAUAUAUUAUAGCUAAAGCCGCAGUAAGCGAAUAUAUAGUAGCAGCAAAUUGAAAGAGGAGCGAUUUGAUUUCAAGAACUUUGAGAACAUUGUUUAUAAUAGAAGAGGAAUAUUAUAUUAUAGACAAACUUAGCUUUUGAGAAUUUUAAAUUUUCUUUUUGUGAAUACAGAUUUUUUUUUGAGAGAUUGCGAGUAUAGAAAUUGAACUUGAGAGGGAGAGAUGGGAGGAUGUGUAUCAGGUGAUGUAAAAGGAGGAAAACAAGCGAUUGGAGGGGCCCAACAAAGGCCCACCGAUCCACCCAAUAAUGGUGGUCAGAAUGAUGCUGCCGAUUUCUUCUUUCGCUCGCGUGGUCUCCAUUCUCUUUCCACUCAAAUCGAGGUCUAUAUAUGUUAAUGUGUAUAUUUUUAUUUAUUUAUACGUACAUUUGUAUUCUCUGUGUGUGUAAUUGUGCCAUGUUAGUCCACUGCAGAACCCUAAAAUUUAAUUUCAAGUACAAGCAUCAAGCAUAAAGUACUUGUCCUUGUUUUGUUUAUAUGUUCUGCUUUGUGUUUGUCACUUAGUGAGAAUUUUAGUUUGUUUGAGAACUGUGUGGUUACUGUCUGUAGAUUCUAAUUGCUCUGUUUGUAUGCUGAAGAAAUAUUUCACUUUUUUUUUUCUUAUCGAGAUUCCGUACUGGUCUUGAUGGUUCUGAUUUAAAGAAUGGUGAAACGGAAGGAAGUCGCAAUUUUUGAAAUUGAACUGCUCUCAUGCCCUGCUCAAAAAUUAUUGAGAAGCAUAAACAAUGAGAAACAUAUACCUUGAGAUACAAUAAUUUAAUUCUGUGGUGAUCACAGACCUGGCUUAAAUUUAUUGCUGCUUGGAAAACUUAUUACGAGUGGAAUUGUUUUCACUGGAAUGACUUCAUAAAGAACUUUGUUACCAAUUGUUUGGCGUUACUUUGUUAUUUUAUGUAAAAACCAGUGAAUUUAAGAUCUGAAGCCCUUUCACUAUCUUCUUGUGCAUCAAUUUUGAUUUUCUUAUAUUAUUAUGAUUAUAGAAUACGAUCUUAAAGUCAAAUCCAAGAAUCGUAAUGGAUUCACAGUUAAUAACGCGACUAUUCCACCAAAAACUCCUUUUUGUACAAAACAAUCAAUAUGUAGAAUCAUAACAAGUGAUUGCUGAAAUUCAAGGAUAUGAUACUCAUUCCUUUUUGUUGUUUUUAUAUUGGGAUUGGUUUUUCUAAGGAUAUUAAUGGAAGAAAAUGCGUUUUAGUAUAUAUUUGAUAUAUGAGUCUUGGAAUUCCAUGAUCUUGUUUAGUUUAAGAGUUCUUAUAUGAUGCACCUAAAACUUGAGAGUUUAUAUCCGUUGUAUUAUUAUAUUUAAAUCUUGAUUGUUAGAUGAAGUUACCAGAAUUGUUAAAUUUGUAAAGUAAUAUCACCCCUCUUACAGCCACUUAUUUUAAAAAAUUAGAACUUGUUCUUUUUUUCAUUUGCACCAUCUUCUUCACAACAUUAUAGAGAGAGAUAUAUUCCAGUGAGCAUCAAUGAAUUAGAUGCCUACAAAUUCAAGACAUUAAGACGAGAUAACGGAUUUCUUGGCAUUUGGCGACGCUAGACAAUAAAAAAUGGAGGAGAGAGAGUUUUGGUUUGAAUAUUUCAAAUGAAGACUCUAGCUGAUUCCAAUGACUGUUGAGAGUUUUUAGGGACAAGCUCUUUCAUUUACGGGUAACCAUGUUCAGUUUAGUUGCAUAUUGAUGUUGUAAUGAAUGAUGAUUUUUUGGGUAGUCUUGGUAUGGAUUUUCAGUAUUUAGUAUUGAAUUACACAAUUCAAUAGAUCCAACCUAACCAAAGAACCCAACACAACAAGUUAAAGCACUUUCUUAUGUAACAGGUUGUUUACCCAUAAUUACAAGUUAGAUAGCAUGUUUAUAUAUAAAGUAGGUGCACAAUAGUAAGAACCUUACUUUGAUUUCGAGCAAUGUUGAAUAAAUGGUUGUGUCAAUACAAAAUUUUCUUAGAAUUUAAACUUGGCGAAGCUAAUGUAAUGCAAGUGCAGAAGUUUGUUUAUUGUUACUAUUUAUCGUUUGAUGUGACAAUAAGAUUUUUCACAUGUUUUAAGCAUUGACUGUUUUGUAUCUAUUUUGUCCUACAUGGUUGGGGUUUUGCUCACCUCCAAUUGGAGAUUCCCAUUGUUUCCCCAGAUGGAACAUUUCAAGAUUCUUACUUUUAGAUGCUUCUAAAGUUUAUAAGCACGAGAGAAAAUGUUGACUUUAAUCUCAUUUUUUGCCAAAAGGAAAAUAACAUCAUCAAAUCCUCACCUGUUAUCUUACUUUUGCAAUUCAGUUUUGGCAUGUAAAGUAAUUGUUCCAUGACAUUUUAAGAUGUCUUAAAUCUAUCCUCUUAUUCAUGCAACGUUCCUCCAAAUGCUUUACGUGGAUUUUGCAUUUCGUUGUAAUAUUUUAUAUGCUUAUACUUUGAUGGACUUAACGGUGUAUUCAGCAUUGCUAUUCACAUGUAUGCCUAUAUAAUCAUCUUGUUACCUAUCUUUUUCUUCAUAUUAUCUUACAUGUUACUUGUUUCUUUAUCCUAAUUGUAUAUUCAUGUUUCUCAAAUCUGCACUGUAGCUGGCAUUAUCAGCUUCAAAGUUACUUGAUCGUGAUAUCACAUCAAAGGUAUGUUCCUAUGGGCUCUAAUCUAACAUAAAAUGAGAGUUUAGUUUCGCUGCUUUAGACUGUUGUGUUGCCUCUUCAUGGGUGCACCCUCUUUUCCUCCUGUUCUUAUAAAUGUAAUGUUGUUAGAGUGUGCUAUCUUGUAUCAUUUGAUGAUCUGCCCUAUAACUUCUCAGCUCGUUGUGGGUAGGAAAAUUGUAGUUUAAGUCACAUGUUAUACUGGUGUUUCAUGUCUCAACUUUAACCUCUAUGACGUUAUUUGUGAGCCUGAUCACUUGAACAUGGGCUUUAUCCAAUGGUUGGUUUAUUGACGAGCAAAAUCUACUUUGAAAAAACAAGUUAUCUUAGAUUUUUGUCUUCUUUUCCCUUGUUGCUCUGCAGCUGUACGUAUGUGAGGAUUGUGGGUUUAAUAUUGUUGAUAAGAUUGACCAAUCUAAAAACAGAAAUAGAGAUUAAAGGAGACUCUAUAUGUUGUUUAUUCUCGAAAAAGAAAAGGCAGGUUUUUGCCAUUAUUAUGUGGUUUGUUCUUGUGUGUGAGAACUAAACUAGGUUUUCAUUGUCAGAGUGAUCCAAUGGCAGUUAUAUAUGUAAAGAAGAAAGAUGGGAAACUAGAGGAAGUUGGCCGCACUGAAGUCAUUUUAAACAGCUUAAACCCUUCUUGGAUCGAAAAGAUUACAAUUGCCUAUCAGUUUGAGACAUUACAGCUGCUAGUGUGAGUUUCUCAUUGCUUCUUUAUAUACCAAUGUUCUAGCUAUAUCUUUCAUUUAGUGAACUGGCAGGACGUGGAGAUCGAUUGAUCACUCUUUUCUUUUUUGUUUUCCUUUCCUCCAGCUUUCACAUCUAUGAUGUAGAUACCAAAUAUCACAAUAUACCUGUGAAGGUAUGAUGUAGUUUCUGUUUCUAACAUUUUCUAUAGUAACAUUUCUAACUUUAACAGUUUGUCCGAAAAAGUUUAGUACAAUUCUUACUUCGAUAAUUAUAGUGCUUAUUUUGCUCUCUGUAACAUAAUAAGGCACUGUAAGGGGAAAGACUACUCAUAGCAGUUACAUGACAUAUGCAGAAGUCAGAACUAAAUGUUGAAGAGUCAUUUAAAAGCAGACUCAACAGAGACAUAAGGGACUUUGAAAAAGAAAUUUAGAUGAAUAAUAACCAAACAGCAUUAAGCAAACAAAAUCCUUGGUGAUUUACUUCUAGUGGGGAAUGAUAAUCUUACAAUUUGCUAGACAUUUUGUUGAAAGUGAAGAUCGUACUCUGAAAUAUAAACUAUUCUUUUAUCACCAUGCAGUCACUAAAGUUGAAGGAUCAGCAAUUCUUGGGAGAAGCUAGUUGCUUUCUGUCUGAGGUUAGUUGCUUUUGGUGUUAUGUAUAUUGCUCAUCAAGUUUAGGUGAAGUAGUUGUGAUGAAUCCAUGAUUUGAUAUAUGGAAUAAUGCAUUGCAUUUCCCUUUCUGUUCCCUGACAAUUUCACUGGGGCCAUGAGGGAUGACUGAAACUAUAUUUAAUGAUUGCAAAGAAAGCUUGUAGACAACCUGCAGUAAUGAUCACUGCUUAUGCUAUUAUUUCAUUUGUCAUACCAAAAUUAAUAAUAUUGAUGCUUGCCUAUAUUUCCCCUUUGUUCAUGGCAGAUAGUGACCAAACUGAAUCAAACAGUGACCCUGAAUCUCCAAAACAGAAGUGGGCAUGGAGUUUUGACUAAUUUAGGGACGCUCAACAUCUAUGCUGAGGAAACAGUUGCUUCUAGGACUGCCAUUGAGCUAACAUUCCAUUGUUCCAACCUGGAUAACAAAGAUAUAUUUUCUCAAAGUGUAUGUACUAAAAAUGGCAUCACCUUUAGAGCAUGAUGAAACUUACAAAUGUCUUAGAAUCCUAACUUUUAUUCUCUUUCUGUUGCAGGACCCUUUCCUAAGAAUAUCUAGAUUAGUAGAGAGUGGUGCUUAUAUACCUAUAUGUAAGACUGAGGUGGUGAACAAUAAUCUGAAUCCAGUCUGGAGGCCCCUAUAUCUGAGCAUGCAGCAAUUUGCAAGCAAGGCAAGCUUGUUAUAUUUCCUCUUCUUCUUGUUCUUCUUCCUGGUUAUGCACAAGCUUGUAAAAUUAAUGACUCUUGCUUAGAUAGUGGCUAGAGUUUGUAGACUUUGGUGGAAAAAAAAAAGUCAUUUAAGUUACCUCACUCUGUUUCAGAAUAACCCACUGGUUAUUGAGUGCUUUGACUUCAACAGCAAUGGCAAUCAUGUCCUGAUUGGGUAAUUAGAUACUUGAUCUUUCUUGUUUUACCUGUUUUCUUGUUAAUAGGCAUUAGUGGUUUAGGCAAUUGCUGAUAUUGUAUCUUUCUAUUGACAUCCUCAGGAAGGUUCAGAAAUCAGUGUCUGAUCUGGAAAAGAUGCACAGAGAAAAAGGCGGUGCGAAUUUCAUCUUACCAUCUCAUCGAGGUCAUGAAAAGGUGUUGCUUUCUUACUUGGAUCAAAAUUUAGUAUAUGAUGCCACUGUCUUUACUCAUCAUAGGCUGUGCCUUUUAGGUUCUGAAGGGUCAGCUGUUUGUGGAUCAAUUCAUGGAGAAGGAGCAGUACAGUUUUCUGGAUUAUAUCUCCAGUGGCUUUGAGCUAAAUUUUAUGGUUGCUGUUGACUUCACUGGUAAUAACCUAUGAUGUAUCUCAUUAUUCAUUUUUCUUCUCUGCUUCCCAUGUAGCUUUUCAGUCUGAAAUCUGAUUGUUGCUUUUGCUAUUAAAUUUGCAGCUUCAAAUGGAAAUCCUCGACAUCCUGAUUCCUUACACUAUAUUGAUCCUUCAGGCCGGUUGAAUUCUUAUCAGCAGGUAAGGCAAGCUGUGCUACUCUACACAAUGGCAAUGGUUGUAUUCUGAAAAGAUAUUAUAAAUUUUAUUUUAUUUUGUUUUUUCUAAUAAUCAUUGCUCUUAAUGGUAUCUUUUCAAAUGUUAAAAAUUAAAUCAGAAGAUUUAAUCUUUAAUCUAAUGAUUUGCAUCAAUACCAUAAUGAUAAAACAAUAUGAUUGUUCAAGCUAAAAUGCUAUGAAGUUCUCAAAAUGGCUUUUAAUGUGAAAAGAACUAAUUUUGUUGUUCUUCAUUGUGUUUGAGGUUGGAUUUCUUUGUGUUUGUUUACAGAAUUAAACUGAAUUGGCUAGUUAAGUUAAUUGGCUAAACUGGUUUGCAGGCUAUAAUGGAAGUGGGGGAGGUAAUACAAUUCUAUGAUUCUGAUAGGUGUUUUCCUGCCUGGGGAUUUGGGGGAAGGACGCCUGCUGGUACAAUUUCACAUUGUUUUAACUUGAAUGGAAAUCCAAGUGGCUUUGAGGUAAGAGGAUCAGGCUUUCCCAAUUUCUUGCACGGCUGAACACUAUUGUUUAGAGGGUUCGAUUUGUUUGACAUUUAUUUCUGGAUGAUUUCUGCUCAAUUAACAGAAAUUUUUUGCCUUUUUCUCUGAGUUUGUUUCGAUAAAGUUCUUAUUCAUUGCCUUCUGAGUUAGUGACUUGUGCAAAUUAGUUUUUGUUAGAGCUUGUCAGGAGCGUCCUAAAUUCUUCCAUCUGGUAAUGCACCAUCUCAUAUCUCAACAAGAGAAAUGCGAUUCACUUAAGAAGCUUCUGAAUCCUGGUUAUGCACAAGUGUUUAUGCUGUUAUUUGUUGCUUGUAUAUUUUUUUAGUAACAUAAAUAAAGCACAGCUUGCCUUGGUUCAGUUUGGGUUCGCAUCACAUCUAGUCAAAGGGUUUAUGUGCACAGAUAAAUAUUGUGAUGACAUUAGCUCCAUAAUGCUCAAUUAAUGUCAUUCUAGUUGAUAUUGGUGAUUUUUACACUGUCAGUCUGAAUAGUUGCUGCCUGGGUUUUUCUUAUAGAUGAUCCUUACACUUAGCUUUUACGGUAUUUUUCAUUGAUUUCCAUGAGCAGAUUCAUUCAUUUAUUAUAAAUUUUAGAAUCUUUCCAAUAUUUUUAAUUUCUUUAACUAACAGGUUGAGGGUGUUGAAGGCAUCAUGGCUGCCUAUGCCACUGCUCUACAGAAUGUUGCUCUAGCAGGACCCACUUUGUUUGGCCAAGUGGUCAAUACAGCUGCACAGAUUGCUGGUCAGUCUCUUUCAGAGAACAACAAGAAGUACUUUGUGUUGCUCAUUCUAACAGUAAUUGAACCAUGGCUUUUCCUUGCAGUUUUUAUCCCUUACUUUCCUAUAUCUAAGUAAUAAAUAAGCUGCCUCUGUUUUCAGGAUGGAGUCCUAACAGACAUUCAAGAAACUAAAGAUGCUUUGGUGAAGGCAUCUGAUCUUCCAUUAUCAAUUCUUAUAAUCGGAGUAGGAGGUGCAGACUUUACACAAAUGGAGGUGUGCGUUGUUUCUUUAUUCGUUAUUACACUAUGCUUUUAAUGUUAUGGAGGAGAGAGUGCAAGUGCACCUGUUGGAAAUCUGUCAUUACAAUAAAUCUCAAAUUUUACAGAUUCUUGAUGCUGAUCAAGGAUGUCGACUAGAGAGUUCUACUGAUAGGGUGGCCACACGAGAUAUAGUACAAUUUGUUCCAAUGCGAGAAGUGCACAGUAAGUACAAUAUGCAUUUUAUGGUAUAGCUCACUUAGUAAGGCAUGGUGCCUUUAAGUUCUGAAUAUUGAACUGAAACGUGCCUGUUUUCAAAUGACACUCUUGAGAGUAGAGUUUCAUAGCAUUUAGUGUUAAUUAUGGGUUAGGACUCAAACCGCGCAUUAGCCAUCUGCCGUCAUUUUUUAUAUAGAACGAAGGCUUGUAAGCAAUAACUGGGAAGCAGAUGUUGUUGUUUUCCUGUGAUCCUAGAUGUUGUGAAGAUGAUCAUAAGCAUAGUUGGCAUGAAAGGCUUUUCAAGUGUUAGGAUGAUUCCUAAUCCUGGUCGUUUCUGGCAGUUCAUCGACUAACUGCCGACUAGAUCACACUUGUUAUAGAUGUGCUUGGUUCAUGCACAGGCACACAGAGUGAUCCAAUUAGACCUAGUUGAUGCAGCUUACAUGCAACUAUACGUAAAUUUAUAUUUCCUUUUCUCUUAUGUUUUAAAUGGCUUUACUCCUGCGACUUCAACUAAUAUAGGUUGGUGCCUCUUGACAGGUGGACAGCUUUCUGCGGUUCAAGCACUUCUGGAAGAGUUACCUGGACAGUUUUUGUCAUAUAUGCGGUCUAGGGAUAUCAAACCACAUGCCCGCCACACUGAUUGAACAUGAUAUUGAUAGCACUAUGAUUCUGGGUUCAUUCCAACAUUACAUUUCUGUAGAUAUGGCAUACAUUAGGGUUAAACUUGUACAUAUUCUCAUGAAUUGACUUUUUCUUCUUUCCGGUUAUACACUGCACUUUGCAAAAAAAAAAAAAAAAAAAAAAUUGAAGCCGACUCAUGGGUUUGACCUGUUAGAAGGUUUGUGUAUAGUUUAGAUUCAGAAAGUUGUUUCUGGCUGUGUCAACGUGGGCUACCUGAUUAAGUUUUUAAUCAAUCGUUAUUCAAUUCUUUGUAUAUUUUUGUUUCUUGAACAAUUGUAAUCCCAUUUGAAGCCUAUAAAAUAUAUGAACUUUUCACAAAUACUUCAAAAUCAAUAAAAAUAUAAAAAAAAAAUUUACUGUGUAAUCUUUUUUUGAAAAAUAUUGUUUUUUUAAUUUUUUUUUUUCUAAAAUGCGGUGCAAUUAUUUAUUGUUGUUGUUUAGUUAUUUCUUGGUAAUCACAAAACAAUAAAAAAAAAUUAAAAUUGUAAUUUAAAAAAAUUAUAUUUUUAUAUCAAAAAAGUAAAAAAUACAGGUAUUUUUGUUAUAUUUCUUAAAAUAUAAGAGAUGCUUCCAGUAAACUUUGCUAAAAAAGUUUUUAAUUACGACCUCACAAUCCUCUAGCUUAAAAACAUAAAAUUAAGUUGCAUUAAGCUUAUUAAAGAUCAAAUUCGAAAGCUUGAACAUGACUUCCAUCACCAUCGCCAAAGAAUCUUGUCACAUGGUAUGAAAUCUAGUCGGGCAAAACUCAAAUUCAAGCUAUGUAGACCAUAGAAAGUCAAGUUUAAGCAAUUUCAAUCAGAUCUAAGCUCCAAUGAAUGGAAAUAGAUAAAUGAUAGCACAAACACCAGAAAUGCCUCGAAGAUCUCUUAUACUAACCUCCACCGCAAUGGAAUUAUCUCUUUUUGAAGAACAAAGGAGCCGAUAUUACCCAUAUUUGUAUUUUAUUAAUUCAGGAGAGGAAAGAAGAACUUAGCCUUAGAAAAGUUUCUAAGGCAAUCAAAAUUCCCUAAAGGCUUUUAACCUAAUGCUUAUAAACCAAAAAACAUGAUAUCAGAGGACGAAGGAGAAAAUUCCGGCCAAAAUGAUCGUUCAAUUCCUCUCUCCGCAUAAUAUCACUCCGUUAAAGUCUAAAGAGGAGGAGACAAUUUCCGUAUUUUGAUAGAUUAAAUUAAUCCAAAAAAGUCGAAGUGAAUGCAUAUCACAUUUCAUCGGCCACCAUGGCACCAUCCAUUCCACCACCAAUACCAUUUGUUUCUUUAGGAUUAAAUCAGUCCAAGAAAAUUAAAUAGAAAAAGAAUUACUCAUAAAAAUAUACAAAAUUAACAAUCAUUUACUUACCCACUAUCACUAAAAUCAAAUUCUCCGUAUACAAACUCAGAUAAUAAACAUCACUCUGCUGAAAAGUGCAACCUGUUAAAUACAAAAUGAUUUGAUGAAAAUGAAUUCAACAAUGUUCAAUAAGAAAUAGUUUCAGAAAAAAUGAGAAGUAAUUGUUUUUUGGAAUGAAAGAAAAUGGGAAGUUCAUAUUGCUCUCCCGUACUACUUUUUAUAAAGGAUUAACAAAUACACGAUAAGAAGAAAAUAAUUAUAAGAGUUGCUCUUUCUUUUAUAGUUUUAUGUCACAACCCGUCUCAUCUUGGACGAAGUCUGUCCAUGGGCAGAAAUGUACCCAACAUGUGCUAAGAGUGGGCUGCUGCUGCCUAGCCCAAGUUGGCUGUCUAAAAAAUAAAAAAAAAACACUAGAAAAUGCUAAAAUAUUGCAAGACUGUGUGCUGACAAGUCAAGCCAAGGAGCUGCCUAAAAGCUUCCCAUGAAGAAGUAGGAAGGCUGCCUUUCAGAAAAUUCUCAUACUUUGUAAAUAGAGUAGCUUCCUAAGAAAACCAUGUACAUGUGAUGUUUGUAGAAAGUUCUAGAUGAACUAAUCCUAACCACAUGUUAAGGAGGUGAAAAGCCUAUAUAAAGGUCACCCCACAUACUUGUAAAAAAGGUUGGAAACAUUAACAAAGCUCUCUAUACUUUCAAGCUCAAGUGCUACAAACUCUCUGUUCUACUCUAGUCUUAAAUCCUUGUUGUCUACUUUGCUCAACUAAAAUCACUUCCAACUCUUACUUAGUUCGACUUUCACAAAGAAUGAAAGCCUUUCUUUUCUAAGCUAAAGCCAUACUUUCUGAACUGAUCAUAUCUUAACAAAAGAGUUGAUCAAUGUUAAAGUUGACAAGUGCCUCAGCAUCUCCUUGUGCUGUUCCAUCAGUAAGCAAAAGAUAAGUUAAAAGUUGAUUUGAAUUGCCCGAGGCCAAUCUCACGAAGUUCUAACACAACCGGCGGUACCAGAAGAAUUUGACAAUUAAGAAUAAGAAAAUUCAGAAUACCAAAUUAUCUUCAAUUUGUCAACGUAGGUUAAAUAACAUCCAUGCCACUUUCUUCUCUAAAGGGGCUGACGACAAAAAAAGAAUCUUUGGCCCAUACGGUAGAAAAUGUAUCUCUGUAAAGCAUGAACGAAUAACUGCCAACAAAAUACAGAAUGCUUUCACUGCUUCAACAGACAAUCACAUGGGAUCGAAAUGGUCCUUCCCACCAUUUCAAUCAAAAACAAUAAUAGGAGAAUGAAAGCCCUUACACCAUCUCAUUAAACGAAUAUGGGCUCCAAUUCCUGGCAUCACCUAUCAAAGAAAUUUGGGCAUUUUCCAUCUUGAGCUCGUGAUUUCGAUGGAUGGGAUCAAUUUUCCUCAGUAUUCUGGAUAUUAUGAUGCCAAACAAAAAAAAAAAAAGUCAAGACGAAAAUGAGAUUACGGAUCCCCGAAAUUGCUAAUUCCCAUUGGGACAGAAACAUGACUCUACAAAUUAGCAUAAGCACGCAGAAGUUUACGAGUUUAAAGAGAUUAGUGACCAGUACUCACCAUUUUCUUUAUAAAGUUGUUGUAUAGUGGUAUUGAGAUGCUCAACCCAGCGCUCUUCUCCUGCGAAACAUACUUUUUGUAGUUUCGGUGCUCUUAUGACUCCCCGGGAGAAAUCCAUCAUAUUGGGGCACUGUGUCACUUCAACAUCUUUCAAAGAUGGGAAUUGAAUGGUGAUACUCGCAGAGCAAAAUCUUAUAAGGCUUUCCAAGCGAUAAAGUCUCAGGUUUUCCAAUUUGCUGAAAAUAAUAUCACCUUGUGGUUCAUCUGCCUCACUUGCUACAACUUCUCUCAAGAUAUUGCAUUCUCUCACAGUCAUUUUGGUGAGAUGCACGAGACUUUUGGCUACUGAGGAUGUUACCAAGUACAAUAGUUCAUCACAAUUGUACACGUCCAGAGUCUCAAGAUUCUGAAAACCUGCAGAUCCUGAUGCCAAACUAAUCAAACUGUGGCAACCCCAUAUUUCUAGAGUUUCAAGAUUUUGAAGAGUUUGAUCAGUUGGGCAAUCUUGACUCCAUAUUUCCUUCAUAUCAGGAAGGUAGUCCAGUUUUAAAUAUCGCAGCUGAGAAAGAAUCCUUGCGCUCUCAUCGACAACACCAAAUGAGAAUAAAACUUUGAAAUUAGAACAUCUAAGAAUAAGCUGAUGCACGUUCUGGAAUUUAUGAAGCAGAUCGCACGGAGAAUCAAAUGAAGUGUCAUGAAAGCAAUACAGAUGAAGAGUAUUUAGUUUGUUGAAAGUUUCUGCUGAAAAUUGGCCUUCCCGUAUCGCUUUGAUGUCAUCGCAGCUCAAUGAUAAGUUGCACAAGUUAGGGACAACCUGCAAAAGAAAGAGAGACAGAAAUAACAAAAUAUUGUUCUUUAUUUUUAAUAUUUGUUACAUAGAAAGAUUGCUUUGCUUCAACAGAGAUAACAAAUUUUAGAUAAUUAUUAUGCUCGAGUUUUGCAAGCUUUUUCUUUUCUAUAAAGAGUACUUAUGCUGUAUGCACACGCUCAAAUAUAUUUGACUUUUAAGAUAUAUUUCCUUUUUAUAAAAGAAAGAAAGAACGGUGUUUCAGACAUCUCUGAUUUUGGUUUGGUCACUGGCAAUGUAUAUAUAAAUAAGUGGAAGUAGAGCUCAUACCUUUGUAAAACAAAAAAGAGGUUGCUCAGCUUGAAUCUCUUGUUGGCCCUCUGUAUGUGUUUCUUGUGAGCCCUGUUCGUAAGAGAAGGUCUCCAAUUUGUCACACCGAUACACAAUCAGUUGUUCUAGCACCGGACACUCUAAAGUGUGAAUUCCAGGGUAGAAGCUCUUUAAUUCUUGUAAUCUCCAUAGGUCAAGGAACUUGAGCCGAGGAAAAACAAACAUAGAAGUUUCUUCCACUCCCACUCCAUCCUCCUUUGAAACAAUUUCCUCCACCCCACAACCAUCCACAUUAAGGGCUUCAAGUUGUGGGAGAUGUUUGGCUACAGAGGUUGGGAAGAUACUUUUGAGACAAGGACAUUCCCAAACUUCGACUGAAGAUAGUUUCUCAAAGGAGAUAAUCCCUUUAGGAUCCUCGUUCCACACAUGCUUCAAAUUUGGGAGAUUAUGUAUCUCCAAAGUUUCCAAUUGGCUUGCUUCUGUAACCAGUUGUUCUUCGACUUUUAUAAGCUCGCGGAGAUCAAAUACUUCUUCCAGAGAACUGCAAUUCUUUAUGACCAAAUUGUCGAGAUUCUGGAGUCUUAGUAACAUAUUCGAUGAAAAAAUUUUAAAAUUAUUCAUAUCGAAUAUUUGAAGUUUCUUCAAUUUGGGAAAAGCAACCUACAUAAUAAAUUAGAAGAUAAAUAUGGAAGAGGACAAUCAAAACAGAAAUCCAGAAGGAAAGAAUUAAAGAUAUUGCACAAGAAAUAUAUACAACCAUGUUCUAUUUUAUGAUCUUUUGAUAUCAAAAGAAAAAUUUAUAUUUGGGACCACAUAUUCAGGAAACGAGAAGACAAUACCUUUUCGUUAAAGAGAGUAGAUUUUGAUAUUUCAAGUUCACUGCUGAGUGCCAAAUCUUCCCUUCCAAAGCUCGAGACAAAUGCAACCAAUUUAGGGCAGUUUUGCAACCACAACUCUUUCAUGACUGGAAAUUCAAUUAAAUUACUUGUGAAGAACUGUGCAAGUUCUGGAAGAUCUUUAAGCUUCAAAAACUCUAGUUGCCGAAGCAGCAUCCGACUCGUACUUUCUUCUUCAAAUCCUUCUGUGGCUAUUACUUCUUCCAUCAUUCUACAAUUGCAGACCUCGAGUUUCUUCAAAUGCACAAGAGUUUGAACCAUUGAGGAUGACAGUGCAUGUUUUAAAUGACCGCAGCCAUCAACAGUCAAGCUUGCUAAAUGUUGAAUGGAAGCAUACAUUUCCAACUGAUGGGCAUGCCAUAUCUUCUCAAUGUUGAUAGAAAAUAGUUUUAGGAUUUUCAACUCUGAGAACUCAACCUGCAGAUAAUAACUUUUUAUGUUUCAUCAGUAGUACUUCUUCAUUCUUUCCCUUAAUAUGGUACAUGAAAAUAAAGAUUGUAACGUCACAAUUGGUUUUUCAUAGAUAGUAAAAGAUUCUUGCAGUGAAAUGAAACAUCGAAGAAUAGAUUACUGACCUUUGUCUCAAUUAUCUCAUCAGUUGCAUUUGACUCUGAUUCCCUCAACAAAGUACACGUGAAAGUGGCUGGGCAAUUGACUAUGGUAAUCUCUUUCAAAGACGGACAACGCACGAUCCCACUUCCAGAAAAGAAAUUGAUUAAGCUUGGCAACGACUCAAGGGAAAUGGACUUGAGCAGAGGAAAUAUGAUCUCAUUCGGAGCUUCUUCUUUCGCUAAGCCUUCUCUGAUUAUUGCUUGCACCAAAGCGCAAUUUCUUACUUCCACCUCUUGGAGUUGCACAAGGCCCAUGCAUAUGAUAGGAUUAAAAAUGUAUCUCAAACUACUACAGUUAUGGAUAUUCAGCACUGUAAGGUUUUUGAAGCCCGAAAUUUCACUAGAAAUAUCAUCCCAUAUGUGCCUUAGCCUUGGUAGAUCAAUCAAGUGAAACUUUUUUAAAUUGGGUAAAUGCCCAGCAUAUCCAUAAUCGUUGGACCAUUCAAAAUCAAACACUUUGGCUAAUGAAUCACAAUUUCUCACCUCAAGCACCUCCAACUCAUUCAAAAAGGGCAAUAGAUUGGACGGAACAGAACUAGACGGAAAUGAACAAUUAUCCACCACCAACGAUUUUAGAUUAUAGAAGAAAUACGCGGGAAGUUGAUCAUGCCAUUUCUCUACCAGUGUGGGAAAUUCAGAAAGUUGCAAAUGUUGCACACCGUUCAGUCCAACCUAUACAAAGCCAAAUACCAGUGUUAUUAAGUAACUAACAUACGAGCAAGAGAAAUUUUCAAAUAUCUGAUUUUAGUAUGGAAAAUUCAGAAAGUUUCAAAAUGUUGCACACCACAUAGAUCGACCUUUAACAAAGCCAAUUGUCAUGUUUGUGAGCGACUAACAUACGAGCAAAAAUUAGAUGAAGUAUCCAACGUUUCUUGAAAAGAUGAUGAAACAAAGAAGAAAACAAUUUCUUAAAUUUUCUCUGCGAAGGGUUUGGGAAAGCUUACCGAGCUAAAAAAAAAAAAAUGAACAAAUUCAAGAGGACGCAUGACCAAAUGGUUUUAUAAACCAGAACUUACCAUCUCUCUGUAUAGUUGCUGUGUUGUGGUAUUAAGGUCCCCAACCGAUCGCCAUUUGUCUCCUUCUUUUGUUAGACUUACUUUCUCUAGCUUUGGUGCAGUUAUGAUGCCGUGGGAGAAAAACUCCAUUCUGGGGCAGGCUGUCACUAUCAGUUCCUCUAAAGAUGGGAAUUUGACUCGGCAAUUCACUGAGCAAACGGUAGUGAGCCUUGUUAAAUCAUCAAGUCUCAGACUUUCCAAUUUGCUGAAAGUAAUCUCACUUUCCAUUUCAUCUCCCUCAUUUGCCACAAUUUCUCUCAACAUUUUGCAAUUGCUUACCUUCAUUUCUCCGAGUUGUACCAAACUUUUGGCAGUUGUGGAUGUUAGUAAGCUUACUAAUCCAUUACACUCGUGCACUUCCAAAGAUGCAAGAUUUUUGAAAGUUGCAGAGGAUGGUGCUAAAUUUAUCAAUUUCUUGCAAUACAUUACUUCAAGAGUUUCAAGAUUUUGAAGAGAUUGGUUUGGUUGGCAUUCUUGGUUCCAUAUACGCCUAAUAUCCCGAAGACUAUUCAAAGUUAAGUGUCGUAAAUUUGAAAGAAUCCUUACAUUGUUAUCUUCACCAACUAAGGGAUAUGGAAAUAGAUCUUCUACAUUGCUACAAGUGAGGAGUAGAGUUUCAACAUUCUGGAAUCUUUGGAGGAGGUCAAAUGGAAAAUAGGAUGAUCUGUCAUGAAAGCAUUGCAGGUCAAGACGUUCUAGUUUGUGAAAGAGACUUGCUGGAAGCUGGGCUUGCCUUAUCAUCAUGGUCUCCUUGUUACUGAGUGACAAUGACUUCAAGUGGCUUACAACCUGAUAAAUUAACCAAAUGCAUUAUAUUUAAAGAAAAACAUAUAAAAUAAACACAAAACAAAUGAAUGAAAAGUUUCAGAAAAAUAAAUAAUAACAAGUGAUUUUUCCGGCAAUCAACUUUUUCUUUUCUUAAUGUUCAGCGCAAAAUAAAUAGUCCUCUUAAUUGUGGUUUAUUGCACAUACCUGUGUAAAAGAGAAAAGAGGUUGCUGAAAUUCAACGUCCACUUGGUUCUCCCCGCGACCAACUUGCAAGCACUGAGAUUCUAAAGUAAAAAGCUCUAGAUUGUCGCAGUCAUGGAUAGUCAACUUUUCCAGCUUAGGACAAUCUAAAAUAUGACGUCCUGGAUAGAAAUUCUUUACUUCUUCUAGAAUCCAAAGUUUCAUCGACUUAAGCUGAGGAAACACAAAUCUUGGAGUUGCUUCUACUCUAUCCUUGGCAACAAUUUCCUGCAACCCACAAUUUACUAUUGAAAGAUCUUCGAGUUGUGAAAGACUUUUAGCUAUUGAAGCCGGGAAAAGAUUUUUCAAACUAGGACAGUUUUCAGCAGACAAUGAACGUAAGUUAUCAAAGGAGAAGACUCCUUGGGGAUCUCCACUCCAAACAUGCUUCAAGGAUGGGAGGUUUUCUAUAGUCAAAUCUCUCAAUUGAGCAACUACUGGUAAAACACGGUUUUGUUUUCCUUCUGUGGCCAUCAGCUCUUGUAGAUUAAACACCUCCUCCAGUAAAUCACAAUUUGUUACUACAACAUCUUCAAGCUUUUGCAAUGCUCUCAACAUUUUCGAUGGAAAAAUUGUCACUAGCUCUUUACAAUUUUGAAUCUUAACUAUUUUCAAUUUGCAAAAGGAAUCUCCCCUGUCUUCACUUUCCCAUAUCAUCCUCAAAUUAUUCAUGUAGACAAUUUCCAAUUUUUCCAAGAUCGGAAAUGAAACCUGACAAAUUCAAGUAUUUUUGGAUUUAUAAAUUAGACCGAGUGAUUGAAUAUAAAUAAAAUUAAAGAUUAGUGACAAAUAAAGAGUGUCCAUUUACCUGAGUUUUUACGCAGCAGAUAAUUGUAAAGAUAUUGGAAGAAAGAAAAGGAAAAGAUAUCUUACCUUUUCAUCGAAAAGAGUUGAGUUUGUUUCUCUACCUCCUCUAUUUGCUUCCAUAUUUGUGCUUGCAGAACUAGAGAUAAAUUUCAGCAGACGAGGGCAGUUUUCGAUCCUUAAGGCAUUGAGAGAGGGACACUCAAUUAAGUUACCGAAGCAAAACCUUAUCAAAUUUGGAAGACUUUUGAGCUUUAGAGUGUGUAGUAUGGGGAAGUGCAGCUUGCUAUUAUGUUUUGUUAAUCCUUCUGCAACUAUUAUUUCUUCCAUAAAACUGCAAUCGCUUAUCUCAAGAUACUCGAGUUGGCUAAGAUUUUCCACCAUAGAAGAUGUAAAUAAAUAACUUAACUUCCCACAACCCUCCACGAUCAAGCUUGUUAAGUUUUGAACGGAUGAAGGUGGUUCUUUGACUUGGUUACGCCAUAUCUUCUCCAUAUUAUUAAUUGAGGAUAACUUCAAGUUUAGCAAAUUGGAAAAUUCAAUCUGCAGGUACAUAAAUUCAAUCCGUUUUAGAAUUCAUAAGAUAUAGCAAGAGAAAUAUAAUCAAAUUAAAACAAUUGCUAACUUUUACCUUUUGGCCAAAAAGUACCGAUGGAGUUUCAGAAAUGAUCUGUGCACAUCCCGCAUCAAGUCCUGCUAACUUCUGCAUUCUUUGGGAGCAAAAGCUUGUAAACCGAGGUAGAUAUUCCAAUGUCAAUGUGCGUAAACGUAUCGGUUUUAUUAUUUCAUCUCUUCCACUAUCAUCUUCAAUUUCCUCCACAACUAUCUCUUCCAUUAUAUUGCAACUACUGACAUCUAUUUCUUCAAGUUGAACAAGGCCUCUAAACAUUGAGAAAUAGAAAAGAUUCUUUAACGCAUUGCAAUGUUCCACUUUUAGCUUUCUUAAUUUGCUAAAAGACCCUGACAUAAGCUGGCCGUAGCAUAUCUGCCCCAAGUUAUUCAAAUUGUCUACCAGUAAUGACUCCAACCUUGGGAAAGCAAUGUAAUGAUUGCCCAUACUCAGACAAUCCACAAUAUAUUGUAUCUCACUACUAUUUUGUAUAUGGAGAUGUUUCAAUUGAGGAAAACCUUGGCCAUCUAAUUCAUAGAGCACAUUUCUUACACCCUCCAAUUCAUCCAAAUAUAAAUCUUCAGUUGUCAUCAACAACACUUUAACCUUCUCUAUUUCAAUGCUUGAAUUGAGUUUCAGUUUCAAGGUUCUUGAGGCUUCGUACUUACCAAACCAGCUCCACUCUUCUCCGAUAAAUACUUUAUAUAGAUCCAGCUUUUCGGAGAACACAUCUCUGGGCAGAAUUUCUGCAUUUAUGAUAUGUAGUUCAAGAGUUACAAGGUUUGGCAGAAGCUUCAGUUCAUCUAGGCUAGCAUUGUUUCUAUCACCAUCAUGUUCUUCACUCUCCCAUUGCACAAAGCUGUUUCCCAUAUACAGCUCCUCCAACUUUGUCAAGCAUGAUAAAACACCUUUUGGAAUGACUUCGAGUUUUUGGCACCUGCUCAGGUCCAGAAGUUGUAAACGAGUCAACUUCCCUACUUCCCUUGGCAACUGAACCAUGGUGGAGCCAAUAAAGCUAAGCACUUGCAAUUUCUUUAGCUCUCCAAUUGCAGCUAUGUCUUCCAAAGUACAACGAUCCAGGCACAACGUUUGAAGAUUCUCAAGACAUUGAAGUGACAAAGGCAUCGGUGACAAAUGCACAUUAGAUAAAUCCAUAAGUUUCAGCUUUUUCAUUCUACUGAAAAAAUUAUCUGGUAUUUUGAGUGAUGAAUCUUUAUUGUAAAGUAAAAAUGAUUGGAGGUCUGGACAUUCAAACACUUCAGGAAGCUUAGGAAUUUUGCAAUCUGGUAAAGAGAUUGCAGUGAACUGUUCAAGUAUGUCCUUCUCUGGCCAUUCUUCCAAUCCCGAGUCACAUGCUACUGCAAAGACAUGAUGAUCCCUUGAUGCAACCAACGUUGCAAAAUUGUGAACAACAUCAUGCAUUCUAACUUCAUCAUCAUCGUCGCCUUCGAGCAAUAAACAAGACCUUUUGAGGUCAUUGACUACUUUGAGUAGUCUAUUUCUUGCUGCUUUAACUGUAGUGCGUUGAUUAAAUAAGCCCAAACCCAGACUAUACUUCAACAAGUCACUGACUACUAUAUAGUGAGCUUUAAGUUGUCCACAAAGGACGAACAAGGACUUUUCUUCAGCUCCUAAAAAGUUGUAACUCAACUUCAAGGCCGUGUAGCUGGCUUCAUAUCCUUCUUUGUCAAAUUUAUUCAAAUCUUCCAAAGCAUCCCUCCAUUCACACAACUCCUUAUUUUUCAAUGCCGUUGCAACAGCUACAAUUAGAACGGGCAAUCCUGCACAUUUACGUGCUAUUUGAGUAGCUAUAGGAUGGAGAGUGGGAUCUUUGACCUCACCCGCCUUCUUCUCAAAUAGCUGCCAUGCCUCUUCAUCUUGUAAAACACGGAGCAGAAAAUGUCUCUGCACGUCCAUUGCCAGCAAUACAUUUAAAUUCCUGGAGGUCAUCAAUAUUUUGCAUCCUUUAUGAUCAUUACCAUAAGGGAUUCCUAACUCCUCCAAUGCGAUUUUAUGCCAAAUAUUAUCAAGAAUUACCAGAACUUUCUCGUCUUGUUUCAGUCGUGCACGCAGCCGAGCUGCCCUUACUUGAGUGGAUUCUACAUCAAAUUUCAGGCCUAACCAAUCUGCAAUGUCUUGUUGAAUCUUAUUCAAAUCUGGAUUGUCUGUUACAGUUGCUGUAGCCACCACUUUGAAAAUCCCAGUUUCCUUAACUUGUGCAGUGACUUGUUUCAGUAGCGUGGUUUUGCCCACGCCUCCCAAUCCAUACACCCCAAUUAAAUUGACAUCAGCAUCCUUCAAUGCUCCAAUAAUCUCUUCCAGAACUUGAUUUCUCGAGUCAAAGGUCUCAUAAUCUUUUGCCACCUCAAACUUCUGCACAGAAAUAGUAUAGGAAAUUCUAUCAAAAGUAUUNNNCCGAUGAGCACCCUCGUUUGCUCUAUCAUUAUCUUCGUUGAGAAUAGUCUCUGCAGCUUCAUGGCCUCGUCCGCACUUGUCAGCCACUUGCUUACAAUUUCCUCAAUUUCUUCACCUUUAGCUAUAGCCUCCUCCACUCGGUGCAUCACGCUCACUUUUUCAGCUUUUAGCUUCUCAACUUUACUUUUAAGGCCUUGGAUGUUGGAACUGUAGUUCCAAAUAUACCCGAUUUGGCGCCAUAUCGAAUCAACCAAUUGGUCUGUAACUUUGCUUACAACAGCUUCGCCCACAGCAAUUUCCAUUCUCUAUGUUGAACAACAAAUAAGAAAUACGUAAAAAGAAGACUAUAGCAGCGAAUUAAGCUAGAUAACUAAGGUUAUGCUUAUGGUAUUAAGCAUCAAAGAAUAAAAGGAAAGAAAGCAACAAGAUUUUCUUUUUUUAUGCCAGCGUCUUUGUAAUGCAUAUGUAAAAUGUUGUGAUCCUCUUUUAUUGUAAAUGUAUAGAUAAUUGAUAUAAAUUUUUUAAUCUUAAAUAUAUAUAUAUAUAUAUAUAUAAAUCAUUUAAUAUUAAAAUAUAAAAUACUUAUACAUACAUUUUAUUUUUUUAUUUAUUAUAAUUUAUAAAAUUAUGUAAAUAACUCAGUUAAGUUUUAAUUGCUUUAACAAAAAUCUAAUAACUCCAUUGGCUUUUUUUAGGAAUAGUGAACAGGCCAAGUGAAAUAUAUUAGUGUAUUCUUUUACGGGUGAAGUUUUAAAAUGUACUAUAAUUUGAUAUUCUUUCUUCAAAUGGCUAUGAUUUGAUACUUUUAUAUUCCGGAAAUAAGUAUUUUUUUGUACUAAAAAAGGACAAUUGUGUUCUAUAUUUUUUAUUUUUAAGUAUACACCAUAUUUUUAUAUUUAGUUUACAUAAUUUUAUAUAUUAAAAUAUAAAUUUUUAAAUAAUAUAACAUCUAACCAUAUAUAUUAUAUUCUUUUUAAAGUAACUACCUUUUAAAUUAGAUAAAAAAAAAAUUAAAACUAAAGAUUCAUUUUGUGGUAAUAAAGUGUUCAAUUGGAUGCUAAAUUAAUUAAUUAUUUUAUUUUAAUAUUUACAAUACAAAAGAAAAAUGGUAUAUAUUUGAAAAAAAUAAAAUACAGUACUUUCUUAACUUCUAUACAUAAGUAUUGAUUAAAAAGCCCCCUCUAUUUGAAAUUUAGCAAUAUUAUUAUCUGAUUUUUGUUGUUAACGGAUAAUUCUCCAUAUUGUUCUUUUUUAAAAGGGUGGAAUUCAUUCCAUAAUCCUUGGCUGGCAAUCUUGGGAUGAUACAAUCACGAACACCUCUGAGCCAAAAAGCAUUAUAUUAGCCCUUCCUAAUUUCUAUUUUAUUAUAAAACGACUAAACAUUAAGUUUUUUUUUUUCAUAUUUUUUAGUUAUUAGUCGUGAUAUUUUAUUUUAAUAUUAUUUUAGAGAUAAUUAUAAAUUUAAUAUUAAAUUUUUUAAUUUUUAAUUCUUUUUAUCUCUAUUCUAUUUUGUAUUAAAUAUUCUUUUAGGACUAAAGUAAUAUUUCCUCUUGCAAAUGAGUAACCAAACAAAGCAAGCAGAGGACACCAUGAAUGAAAAUAGAAAGAAGAAUUUUGAAUAAUUAAGUGAAGAUUAUAGAGAGAGAAGGAAAAGUGAGCGUGGAAGCUAACUCACCUCUUCUUUCUUACAGGAGUAGCCGAUCAAUGCUGAGAAUUUACUGAAAAAGGCACUGCAAUUUGCUUGGAAUUCGUAAAGAACAAGAGAGAUUUUCUUUCUGUGAUCAACGAGAUGAAGAAAAUGAGUAAAUGAGAAAACAUACGGAAAGAGUUUAAAAAGUGAUGUGCCUCAGCUGUCAUUUGAGAAAUUAUUGGCUCAUUUUUUAUUUCUAAAUCCCCUUAUUAGCAUUUAAAAUGUUAAGUCAACUGUUCUGUCAAUUUUAUUUUUAUUUUUAUUUAUUUUUUUCUCUUUUAAGAAAAGGAUUGAUGCCUUUAAGAAACAGUACUGACGCAAGCUCUUUUUUUUUUUUUUUUAUUUCCUGAAGUUUUAUUAGAUUUUUUUUAUUUCUUUCAGAAAAACUAUUUAAAAAUGACUCGCCAAAAAGCGUCAAAUAAGGUGGCCGGUGAUAGCAUCAGCACCAAUUAUUUUUAUAAAAUCCUGUCUGGCAUCAAUAUAAAUUCAAUCAUGUCAAGAAAUGCUUUAAUUAAUUGGAGUGCGAAGAACUUGAUUGCAAUUGUUCAUCUGUCUUUAUUUGGAUGGGUAAUUCUUGGGUUAUUGAAAUUAAUCCUCAACUACAUUGUCAUUUUUUGCAAGCCUCAAACUCCAAUACAACUCUUUUUAUCUAACAAUUAAGGAUUAACUAUUCAACAUGAGUUCUGAUGGAAAUUCUGCAAAAGCUACUGUCUCUGAUGCUGAAACUAUUACUGCUACUGCCUCCAAUGCAAACGUUGCUAGCUCCGAUGCUAAUUCAAGAAAGAUGGAAUUAUGAAUUCAUGCUAGUAAAGUAUGUAGAUAUAUAAUUAUUAGUGCACUUUCUAAUCAACCCUUUAUGGCUAGUGUUUUUAUAUAAAGAAGCAAAAGAAACUUGAACUCAGUCUUCAACUACACUAGUGAAAAUGCGGCUCGGCUAAACAAAAGUUUGCGAUUUAAAAUUACUGUGAUGAGAGAUAAUAGAUGAUAAAAAUAUUAAAAUGCAACGUAACGAGUAUCACAAGUUUUUGGAGGAUUUAAAAAUUAAAAAAUCAUACUUCAAGAGAAGUUUAUUAAAAAUCUUUUAACUGAGAAACUGUCUAAUUUAUGAAAGAACUACAAAUAGUAAUUGAAGUUAUAAUUAUAGAAAUCUUUUCACUUUAAAUUACAAUUUGGAAGUUACUUAUAAAAAUAUAAAUACUCAAGGUAAAAACGAAAAAACUUAUGAAAAUAUAGUUAUAAUUAGGAAAAAAAACUUCCAUAAUUAUUCUUGAUUAAAAAAAAUUUUACCGUUGAACGGAUAAUAUUAAGCGUCCAUUUUCAAAAGACUAUCCAAAACUUUCUUUCCCUCGUUUUUUUCCUUUCACCCAACUGUGAAACCCACAAUGAGUCGCGCAUCAGAAUUCUACGAUUCUCCUAAGGUUGAAAUCCUCAAUUUCAGUAUCAAUCAAAAUGCCUCUCUUCCGUUCCUUGUUUCUGCGAUGCUAUUUGAUUUCUGACUCUUCUAUAGAUUGAAAUGAAAAUAUAGUUCUUAUCGGGAAAAUGAGUUUAUUCUCAAGCAUUUGACAUGAACUUGUUGCAUACUAUAGCAGUCAUAGAACAAAAAGAAGAAAACAGUAACUCUAGACUUUCUAAAUCUAGCAUGUUGUUUUGUAGUUCUUAGUGCUUAUUCUUCAAUGAAUUUAAUGAAAUUUUCAAGAAUCACCUACUGCUACCCUUUAGAUUUGACCCAUAUUAAACCAUCUCGAAGAGCCGGACCUCAAGUGCAAAUAUCACACUAACAUUAUAUGAAUAGUUAGAUAAACAAAUAAAUAAAGGUAUAAUUACUAAUUACUCACGACAUUUAGGAUAUUAUAUUAUACUCUCAUCUUUUUUUAUGUUUUAAAAAUAAUUUUUUUAUAUGAAAUCGAUGCACGUUUCCAUCUAUAUGUCAAAACGAUAAAUAAUUAAUAUAUAUAAAUAUCAGUUUUAAUUGAUAAAAUUUAUACCGACCAUCCAAUAUUAAAGUGCAAGCAUUCAUAUAUACGUAUGACUCUCAUAUUAGUUGUUAUAUAUAUUAAUUUAGAUAAAAAAAAUUAAAAAAAUAUAUUAUAUCCCUUUGAUUUUACUAUAUUUUAUGUUAAAUAUUUUAUUUUCAGUUAGUGAACUGUACCUUAAAAUGAAAUGAGAAAAUUGUUCUUAAUAUCCUUUCUUUAGUUUUUAGCAACAUAAAAGGAAACAUCAUCGCCACUGCAAUUUGUUUUCUCACCAUCUCCCUUUUGUAAUCGGCAAUAACAACAAUAAUAACCUUAAAAUUACAACCUACCACAUCAUUUCCUGCGCCACCGUGGCACAAUCCUCUCCACCACCAAUACCAUUUGUUUCUUUAGGAUUAAAUCAAUCCAAAAAAAUUAAAUAAAAAAAAAAGAAUACCUAUAAAAAUUUAACAAUCAUUUAUUUAACCACUAUCACUAUCAAUAAAAUUGUUUUACCAAACAUUUAAAGACAUGCUUGAUGAAAUAGAAUUUCAAUAAUAAUUAUAUAAUUAAUAAUUAUAAUGACUCGACUUAUUAAUAAUAAUUUUACUAAACUAUGUUUAGCAAUAAUUUUAUUUUUGAUUAUGAGAACAUUAAAUUCUAAGUAUUAUGUUGAUGUAUGAUUUUUAGUUUAUCCUAUAAUUGAUAUAUUUAGUUAAUAAAUUAUUCUUAUAAGUAAAUAGUAAUUCUAUUCUAGAAAAUAAUAUUUUAAUUAUUAUUAAAAUAAUAAUUAAAAUAAUAUUUUAAUUAUUCUUAUAAUUUUUAUUUUAAUAUGUGCAGCUACAUUUAACACAUGAAAUUCAAGAUUAUGAGUAAUUUUAUAAUUUUUUUAUCAAUUUAUUAAUUAAUAAGUUACGUUCCUAAUUAGACACUAACUCUCCUAAGAAAUAGCGUAUUAAUUAUAUUUUAAUAUUAUAUUAACUAAUAAAUAGUUUUCAAAUCAAAUAAUGAUAAUAGUUCUAUUUUUAAAAAUAGUAAGUUAAUUAUAUUUUAAUAAGAUAUUAACUAAUAAAUUAAUUUUCUAUUUAGAUAGUUCUAAUUUUAGAAAACAAAAUUUUAAAUUAAAUUUUUAAUAUUAUAUUUAAUAACAAAUUAUUUCUUAAUUAUAUAAUAUAUUUUUAAUCUUAAAAAAAUAGUCAUAUCAAUUAUAUAAUUGAUAGUAUUAAUUUAUAUAAUACUAUAAAAAUAUCAUGGUAUUUUACUCAAAAAUAAAUAAAAAAAUUUCUCUUGUAAAUGACUGACCAAACAUACACAAAAAAAACAUCAAUCGAAAAAUAACAUUAAUAUUUUGAAAUGUCAUGGUAUUAGUUGAAAUCCAUAAAAUUUAUGAAAUUUAUUUAUGAAUCUAAAAUUUAUAUAUUUUAAAUAUAAUAAAAAUUAAUUUAAUAUUUUACUAGUAGAAUUGAUUAUAGUUAAACUAAAUUCUAAUAAAAUAAAUAGUACUUUCAAAUAAAAUCCAUAUCAGUAAGUCAAUAUAUUUCAUAACAUUGAAAUAUCUCUUUCAACUUUAUCAUUUCUAUUUUAUCUUCUCUUUCAUAUUUUUUUCUUAAAUAAAAUGAAUUCUUUUAGAGAUUUAAACCAAACAUACUACUAUUAGAGAACAACCAACAAGAAAGAAAGUAAAAAUUAUGUUUCGUAAUUUCAUAAUCCAAUUUUUUUCAAUUAGAAAUUCAAAAAAUUGGAUACAAAUAACGAGAAUGUAUAUUCUUCCUCGAAUUUAUCAUUGAGAGGUAAAAGAUUAAAUCUUUUUAAGAAAUAAAGUUUUUCACCGGAAUAUGGAGCCAAGGAUCCCUUAACUAUUAGAAUAGAGUUAAUAGAACGAAUCACACUUUUACCACUAAACUAUACCCGCUACGAUGCGAUUAUUGUAUAUAAAUGAACCUUUUGUCGAGUAAGACAUUUUGAAUUUUAUUUUCAUUUUUCAUUUAAAUUUAAUAUAUAAUUAUUAAAAUUAAAUAUAUAAUUAUAGAAUAUAUAU